UGCUGCUAAAUAAGGCAUGUGCUCCAAGUCGUCCUCUGUUACGUCUGACUUCCCUUCAGUGACUUGUCUCACCUCGUCUCUUAAUUUUCGCAAUGUUUUUGGAUUCCUCAUGAGUUCAUUCAUUGUCCAUUCUAAAAGAGUGGAGGUUGUAUACGGUCCUGCAGACAACAUAUCCACUAUANNNNNNNNNNNNNNNNNNNNNNNNNNNNNNNNNNNNNNNNNNNNNNNNNNNNNNNNNNNNNNNNNNNNNNNNNNNNNNNNNNNNNNNNNNNNNNNNNNNNNNNNNNNNNNNNNNNNNNNNNNNNNNNNNNNNNNNNNNNNNNNNNNNNNNNNNNNNNNNNNNNNNNNNNNNNNNNNNNNNNNNNNNNNNNNNNNNNNNNNNNNNNNNNNNNNNNNNNNNNNNNNNNNNNNNNNNNNNNNNNNNNNNNNNNNNNNNNNNNNNNNNNNNNNNNNNNNNNNNNNNNNNNNNNNNNNNNNNNNNNNNNNNNNNNNNNNNNNNNNNNNNNNNNNNNAUGCUCACAAACAGCUCCGUCAAAUCAACAACUUGGGAACUGUCAAUUGAAUCCUUAAUCUUUUUUAGAAGAAGAGAAGUUUCCUCUUCCCUGAUUUUGCUAAAAGAUUGGACUCUUUUAUUGUUCAAAAGCUGAAGCAUGCAAAUACUUCUGGAGUUCCUCCAGUACUCAUCGUAUGGGGUGAAAGCCACGUCCUUGGGUCCGAAAAAGAUCUUGCUGGGAAUACUCAACAUAGGCUUGUCAGCAAAGCCCACGUCUUGGGUUUUCGUGAUCUGUGAAGCUGCUUCGGCUGAUGAUGCGAUCAAGACAGGAACGCUGCUGAAUAGAAGCAUCAUCAUUGGACCAUGUUCGUUAGAUAGUUUUUGGAGCGAACGAUGUGGAUGUAGGCCCAGUUGGUGAAAGUUUCCGAUAAAUGGAAGCUUAGGAGGAGAUGGAGGAAGAUUUUUCUUGGAUUUUUUGGAUGAAAGCUGGAAAAAUGAUAGUAGAACAAAUGACAAGAAAAUUAAGAAGGGAAGAAACGCAAAUAAGGAUAUCGUUUUCUUUUCGACUGUAAUUAGUUUUUAUAUUUUGCAAGAAAUAGAAGAGAUAUUGGUUAAAUGUGGAUGGUUGAGGAUUGGGGAGUUGUUCUCCUUUUAUAGAUUUUUAUUAUAGAGACCAAAUGAAAGGAGAAUGAAGACCAUGAAGGACAAGAAAUUAAAGCGAAAAUUUGAAAAAAUAAAGCUAGGAUUACGUCACUUUAUAAGUGAUUAACACGUUUGGUGUAAUGCAUAAGGAAAGAUAAUGUUUGAAUAAAUUUAUAUUUUUGAAAUGGGGUUGGGGAAGGGAUUAAAAGGUGAAAGUUAGGUAGCUAACUAGAACUACAAAAAUUCUCCAACUCCUUUGAAUUCAAACAUAGAAAGCAAAAAAUAUUUUUACUAACUUACCAUUAAUUAAUAAAUACUUACAAAAAUUAUAUAAAUCUUUGGUGGUUUCUCGAUUAUGUAAAAUUUUUAUUUAUUUAAAGAAGGGUAAAAUUGGAAGGAUGUGAUUAAUAUCUUCUUGAUCAACACUUAUUCUUCACAUAGCAGCUAAUGAAGGGCACAUUGAAGUAGUAUGUGUGCUGCUUGCAUGUAUAGAAGAUCAUAAUACUAAUUACUAAGGAGAAACUCAUGAGCAUGACGGAUGCUAGUGGAGAUACAGCCCUGCACAAGGCCGUGCGGAGCCAACAUCUAGAUGUGGUUAAGCUUUUAGUAAUAGAAGAUUCUGAAUUUGAAUUUCCGCCUAACCAUGCACAGGAGACGCCACUCUAUCUGGCGUCUGAAUCUGGUUUUCAUGGUGCUUUAAUUAAUAUCUUGAUAUCCUGCAAGAAACCAACUUAUGCUGCAGGUCUAUCUAAUAGAACGCCGCUGUAUGCAGCAGUAAUUCAGGAACAUAAAGGUACAUAAUUUUUUGUUAUUUACUGUAUCAAUAUCUAACUUCAGCUGACUUUCCCAUAAUCUGUUGAUGAUUUCGUAAUCUCUGUUGUGGAUGUAUAUUUUCGAGAAGAUCUACCCCUUUUUUAACUCGAAAAGAUUAGUUUUUAGUUCGAAAGGGUUUUCAUUAUUAAAGUGACAAAAAAUAAAAAUUUAAUUUCGAAAAGAAUUAUUUACAUUUAAACUCAGAGUCGCCACUUGACAUAAAUCAGGUGUGCCAAGUCACCCGUGGAUAUCCUUUUUCAAAACGGUUUUGACUCUAUAAAACUGAUCCACGAACAGAGAUUCCGGCUAAGAAAUUCUGUUGACCGAGGGGAAGGUGUUAGGCACCUCUUGAUCCCGUGGUUCGACCAUGGUCGCUUGGUGGAGUAUAUUGGCUAAUUUGAACACUAUGAAUGUAUAAACUACACCAAACAUAAAUAAAAUGAUCAAUCAAGCAAACAAGUCCAAAAACAAUGUCCAUUCCAAUUAUACAGUCCAAAAUAGAAAAAAGAAUGCGAAAAUGUAAAUCCUAUUCUACCCUACACUAAUUUUAUACUACGCUCCCAUGCUACCCGAUGCAUCGGACCUUUAUCACAGACGUCCUCCAAAUACAAAAUACUUCGGGGCAUUCCCCGGUGAAUAAAUACAAGAGAUCGCGGGGCAUUCCCCAAUUAAAUGAAUUUAUUUCCAAAUGCAAGAGCUAAAACCAAACCGUUCAACUCAAAUUCCACAUUCAAACAUUCAACAAGAAAACUUAUUCCUAAACUUUUGCCUACCCGAACCAACAUUCGCCUAUCCAUUUCAACAUAUCAUAAUUUUAUCACAUUCCAACAAUAUUCAUGCUCAUUAUGAAUUAAAAAAAACAACAAUAAACCAAAGGUAAUAUAAAUUCAUCAUUUUUAUCAAUUUCUCAAUUUCAUCCCCCAAAUCCAUUUUUAACCACAUUAUUAAACUAGGUCGACUAUCAAAUCACUUUUCAAAAUCCGAAACCAACAACAUAUACCCCAACGAAGAUUCAAACAUUUAAGCAUACCAAUCAUUCAUAUUCACAACAACAAUUAACAUUUUGCUCGAAAUAUUCAAAACCGCACCACAAAAUCAUGAUAUUAACUAACUUUGAUAUAAUUAAAAAGUAGAGUUGAGAGAUAGACCUUUGAAGAAUUGAUUUCAUUGAUAAUAAAAUCAAGAAAGCCCGGACUAUAGAAUUCCUAAUAGGACCUCAACAAUGACGAACUCCAACUCCGUAUUGAAAAAUUUGUGACCCAAAACUGAAGCUUCGUGAAUCCAAUCGAACCCGAAAAUCAACACUGUUCACGUACUGUUACGGUACUUAGACAACACUGUUCACGCCAUUGUUCACAACACUGUUCAUGAUACUGUUUCUCUCUCGAUUUUUUUUCUCUCUCACGCGAUUCUCUCUUCUCUCCCUAAUUUUUUUUGUUCUUCUUGUGAGGAAGAUGAUUUGGUGAUUGUUGUUAUUGUAGAGAAGAUGAUGAUGAAAGAAUAAGACUCUCCCUUUUUUCCUUUUAGAAUUUUUCUUUUAUAUUUUUUAUUUAUUUUUUCUUUUUCUUUAUUUAUUUUCCUAUGUGGAAGCAUAUAAUUGGGGCUUGUGGGAAUAAGUGUGUGGUAUGUGGAAAAGUUAGUGUGGCAUGUGGAAAAUGAGGGUGGCGUGUGGAAAAAUGUGUAGGGCGUGUGUCUUUUGCAUGUAUCCAAUUAAAAAUGAAAAGUGAGGUGUUGAGGUGGCAUAGUGAGGUGACAAAGAUGCUAUGUAUUUAAUUAUUUUCAAUUCUUUUUAUGGGGAGAAAUUAUCAAUUAAACAAAAGUAUGGUAAGAUGAAUAAAAUAAAAAUAAAAAAUUAAAAUAAAUAAAAUAAAAUAAAAAAUGAUUAAAAUAUUUUCAGGAAAGGACCCCUUUGGAUGUAAACACAUGGUGUUUUCAUACAAAGCAGUAGACAACGAGACCGAAUUUUGUCCUGACCUUUAUUCAAAAGCACGGAGCACGAGGAAGGAGGGAAACCAGGUCUUGACUUAGGACAUCCUAUCUACCCAAGUUAUGAGGGAAUCAAGUGACAGUUAUCUCAAAGGAUUGGAAGGAGCUAGACUAUGCCGAGUUAGAGAGUCGAGUGAGGUCCCAUCGAGGUCCGGUUUGCGGCUCUGUUAUUACAUCAAAAAUUAAAGUUACAAGUUAAAAACAUAAAUGAAAUUAUAAAAUCCUAUCUACGCAGCUUCUGUUGGACUCUUGACUUGAGUUUCAUCACCCUAUUCUUCAGGCGGGCUCCUGAUUUGAAAUUUCUUCAACUUGUUACUUGGUUUUCAAUUUCAUCACCCUGUUCUCCAGGCGGGCUCCUAACUUGAUAUUUUCAAUAUGUUGACUUUCAUUUUCUUCACUCUGUUACUUGACUUUCAACUUCUUCAUCUUGUUGCUUGACUUUUAAUUUCUUCACCUUGCUGCUUGACUUUUCAUUUAUUCGCGUUGUGCUUCGGGCGGGAUCCUAACUUCAUAUCAGAACUAGAAAGAAAAUUAUCCCAAACAAAGAUUAUUAUAAAGAGAUUUCAUAUGCCAGGAAAGUGAAGUUCCAACAUAAGAAUUAAAUUUUGCCCCAGUUUAUCAUCAAAGGACUUUUGUGAAAGUCAUAUCAUUAUAGGAAUCAAGGAGAAUGACUCGACUAUAAGGAGUGUCUGAUAGGAAUAAAAGGAAUUGACUCAACUAAAAGGUACGUCUUCUAGGGGUCAAGGAUAAUGAAUUGACUAAAAGGUACGUCUUAUAGGAAUCAAGGGAGAUGACUUGACUAAAAGGUACGUCUUACUAGGAAUUAAGGGAGAUGACUCAACUAAAAGGUACGUCUUAUAGGAAUCAAAGGGAAUGACUCGACUAAAAGGUACGUCUUCUAGGGGACAAAGGGAAUGACUCGACAUAAAGGUACAACUUAUAGGAUUCAAAGGGAAUGACUCGACUAAAGGUAUGUCUUAUAGGAAUCAAAGGAGAUGACUCGACUAAAAGGUACAUCUUAUAGGAAUCAAAGGGAAUGACUCGACUAAAAGGUAAAUCUUAUAGGAAUUAAAGGAGAUGACUCGACUAAAGGGUACAUCUUAUAGGAAUCAAAGGGACUGACUCAACUAAAAGGUACGUCUUCUAGGGGUCAAAGGGAAUGACUCGGCUAAAAGGUACGUCUUAUAGGAAUCAAAGGGAAUGACUCGACUAAAAAGUACGUCUUAUAGGAAUCAAAGGAUAUGACUCGACUAAAAGGUAUGUCUUAUAGGAAUAAAAGGGAAUGACUAGACUAAAAGGUACUUCUUCUAAGAGUGAAGGUUCAAUUUAAGAAGUGUAUCAUCCAGUAGAUGAAAACUGAAAUCCCUGGACAAGAAAGUAUGUCUCCGAGGGAUAUAAGAUGAUGAAUUUUUACCAUGAUUUAAUUAUCAAACCUGUGCAACAACAUUGCUUCCUGCAUUUGUAAAAGUGAGAAAUUACGGGCCUUGAUGUUUAACUUUGAAAUCCUUGAUUUGAAGGUAACAUGUGUUCCUGUUUCAUGCAAAGAAAGGUUGUGAGUUUAAAAACAUGGUGGCUGGUUUAUGGAUUUGGCUUUCGUGGCAAACGCUCUUGCCAUCAUCACAUUUAAUCUUGUUUCCAACUAUUACCCUGUGUCAUUGACUUGCUGCUUCAUUAACCAAACUCAGAUUAUUAAGAGUGACUAAGAUAAACAUAACAUCUCUGUUUUACCAUGCUUCUUAGAUAGACCCCUUGGAACCUUGGUAUUUCAUGAGUUCCCAGACUUAUUUGUUGGCAAAACUUUUUGCUUGCCUCAUUUUGGCUCACAAUCAUGUCUCUUUCAUGCGUUGGCCUUUCUGCCUUGUUUUGUAUAAUUGAAGAAGCUGGUAGCCAGUUUUGAAAUCUUUUCUCACUUGUUUUGACAUAGACUUGACUCAAAGACAAGAGAAAAAUAACAAUGAUUUUAUUUGGAUAACUGACUCAAGAAAAAUAAAAAUAUAACUAUUGAAAAGAAAGAAAUAAUAAUGAAUGUCCCCAUUGGAAAAGAUGAAAGAAAAGUUUAUCUGAAAAUGACAGUCAACUCUAAUGAUUAUGACAUGCAUAUCAAAUUAAACUGCCUGAUCUUUCCAUCCAAAACUCUCACAAACUAUUGUUGAGUUUAUGACCCUGAAAGUGAGUUGCUUUCUUAGGCCAAUUGCAUUCGGAGACCUCAUUCGGCUAGUGGCACCUUGAAGGGUUUUCGCCAACAAGUCUCUCUCAUUUUCUUUUAUCACCUGAGCAUUGCCUUAUAAUAUCCGAGAGGGUUUUUUACUAAUAAGAUUCUUAUUUUUAUUUUUCUCAACUCACAGCUGUCUUACAGUGCCCGUGAGUGUUUUCACUGAUAAGACUCUCUCAUUUUUAUUUAUCUCAACUCACCAUCGUCUUACAGUGCCCGUGAGGGUUUUCACCAAUAAAACUGUCUUAUUUUCAUUUCUCUCCUGGUUCCUUAUGCUGAGGAAGACAAGUAGUUCCCAAAAUACGUUAUCCACAUCCAUUGCAUGCUUAGCCUGAGCAUUCUUAAAGAUUGAUCUGAAGGUCUUUCUUUGAUUGUAACUUGGCUUUUGGAUAGGGUUAGAAAUAAAGGAUGGCAUGGGGACCAAACGACACUUAAAGUGGGAUGAGACUUACAACUUUUGGAAUCAACUCAAACAAUGAGGAUCAACUCAUGCCCCAGUUUCUUUUGACUGGGCAAUACUAAAUUUUAUUUGGUUGGACCGAGCCCUGAGUAGGGCAGCCUACGUAUCUCACCCCUAAAAGAGGAGAUCAGAUCAUGCGUAGUUCUGGCCACUUGUUCUUUUUUUGCUUAAUUCUGACUUGUUCUUUUUUUUCUUUUGACUUUUUUUUUCUUUGUGAUUUUUCUGACUCUAAUUUCCUUGACACUCUUUUCUUCCUUCUUGGACACAUUUUUUCUUUUUUUUUUUGAAGCUUUCUGACUCUAUUGUCUUGCUCGAUACUUUUGUUUUGAGCUUUGUUGGCUUUAUCUUGAUUCCAAAAUAGGGGUAUGAAAGAAAAUAAUACUAAGGCUCAAAUGGGGUAAAAAAAGGAUGACACAAUGGUUGGAUAGCAGAAUAAAAUUCCUUCGUCAUUUCAAUCCCUGAAAAUACUAGUACCUAGCAUGCAAUGUGGAAGUGCACGAUCAACAUCACUUAUGACAUGUUUUACAACACUGACUUGCCCCAAGCAUGUGUGUCACCUCUUUUCUAUACUUGUCAAACAUACAACUCUAUAUUUGUUGUACAUCCUUCCCAUUUAAUGACUCAUGCUUUCAUGGAGUUGAUUUUCUUUCUGUUCAUGCAGUCACUAUUGACCUAAUUGAGACGUGUCUUUCAAUUGAUGACCAUGUUAUUCUUGUGAUUCUCAAAGUAAUUGCCUUAAUUUUCGAAGAAGGCUUCAACUUGUCACCAAAUGUCUCAGCACUCCACCUAUUUUCUCAGAUGAUUUUCCUAACUUUAGCCCUCUGAUUCAAUGUUUCAUGGUUAAGUUGGAUUUUAAGAUCUGGCUGAAAAUUCCUCUAGCAUGUCAUAUCACUAGAAUCAACAUAAAAUGUACUGUACAAAGAAAACAAGCAAACGACACAGAUUUAAACAUAAAGGGAAAGGGAUAAUUCAUUUAGUUGAAAUAAAAGAUAGAAGGCUUGAACAUAAAUGACAAAGGUACAAAAUAAAAUAGAUCCCAAACUACAACCCUGAAAUAAUUCAAAAAAUAGAAAAGAAGACAAAACAACUACCAGACCUCUUCCUAGUAAGGAGAGGGGUGACUUCUAAAUUGCUCAGCUUGAUGACUUAGCCACUGGUUUGCAUAUCAGCAUGACUAGAACUUCCCUCAUUUUCAAUGUUCUACACCAUAAUUGAUCCAUCUUGAAUCAUCUUUUCAAUUUCUCUUUUCAAAUCUCGACAAUCUUCAAUACUAUGACCCUGAGCAUCAGAAUGAUAUGCACAUCAUAUAUUAGGAUUAAAGUUUCUUGAACGCCAAUUAUGAGUGCACCCAAGGAGAGAAGUGAUCAUGCCCCAUUGUACCAAUCUCUGAAAUAAAUUGGCAUACGACUCUCCAAUUGGUGUGAAGCUAUCUCUCGAAUUUUGCCUCAUUUCAUCGUUUGACUUGGAUCAAAAAUCAGGCUUAGAAGGGUUUUGGUGUGUUUGUGGAUUUAGAGGAUAACUCUGAGGAGUUGGUGUGUUCCACUGUGGGUAAGAUGGGGGUUGAAUAUGUGGUUGUGCAUUAUAUAUUGGAUAUAGAGGGGGAAGAGUAGAGUAUAAUAGAUUUUGGUAGUGAUUAUGUGAAGCUUGGGCAUGUUGGGCUUGUGCCUGAGAGUGACGACGACAUGGUCUUCUUGACCUUUCCUGCUGUCCAACUACAAUAGUAGAUGCAUCUUCCUCAUUAUUUUUCUCCCCAACACAUCCUCAACCCUUUUGAAUUGCUUGAGUAGUCGCUUUCAAUGUUGUAAAACUCAUGAUGAGACCAGUCUUAAUUCCCUCUUUUAUCAUCUCCCCCAUUUUAAGGACCUCAAUAAACGGCUUGCCUAACCCAGGUAACAAAUGUUGAUAAUAUGUUUCAUCUUGCGCUUGAAUAAACACCUCCACUAUCUUGCUUUCUUUCAUUGGCGGCCUCACCCUAGCAGCUUGUUCAUACCAUCUGAUCACAUACUCUCUGAAACUCUCAGUAUUCUUCUUCUUCAUACUGGUUAGGGAUUUUUGUCAGGAAUCAACUCCACAUUGUAUUGAAAUUGUUGCACAAAUUCAUUAGCUAGGUCAUCCCAACUAAUCCACUUGUUGAUGUCUUGGUCAACAAACCAUUCCGAAGCUAGGCUUGAAAGACUCUACCCGAAAUAAGCCAUAAGUAGUUCUUCCUUCUCUCCAGUGCCUCUUAAUUGAUUACAAUAGCGCCUCAAAUAUGCCACUGGUCCCCAUGUUCGUCAUAUUUCUCAAACUUUGGCAUUUUAAAUCCAGGAGGAAGGUUGACACCUGGAAACAUGUAUAAGUCCUUAUAUGAGACACUUUUGUAACCCCCAAGUCCUUCCAAUUUCUUCAUAGCCAGUUCCAAACUUCUCAAUUUUCUGGUCAUUUCCUCUUGUUCUUCUGUCAUAACAGAAUUCUCAGUGUUAGGAGGAAAUUCAGGUGGGUGAGUGUCACCAUAAAGACUAGUCAACUUGAAUGUAGGCUCAAAAGUGUAACACUGGUCAUUAGUAAUAUUCAAUACAAGCUCUCUUGUAGAGUAGGGAGGCACAACUUGUGGAUGAACAUCAAAAGUAGGAGCUUCAAGUAGGGUGGAGCCACAAAAGCAUGAACAGUAGGUGGAGCCUAGUAUGUGGUAGUCUUGGAUUGGGGAGUGAGAAAAUGAACAUUGGAAGUGGUUGGAUAUUGUUGCCCCAUAGUCGAUCCUGAUGCAUGUUGUGCCAUAUCAACAAAAAUGGGAAAUUGUGCAUGUGACAUGGAAGGCAAGCUAGAAAGAUAUUUCAGAUUAUUAGUGGGAACUGAAGGAGGCGGCAACCCAUUAGCCCAAUCUCGAUGCAUUUCUAUCAUUUGCUGCCUCAAUUUUCAAAUCUCUUCAUUAGCUCCUAAAUUCUCAUUUCCCGAACUCCCUAUCUGAUUAGUGACAACAAACUCGGUAUCCUUGUUGGCCAUAACCUUCUUUGUGACUUGGUGCAAUAUGGAGGACCAACCAAAAUGCCACAAACCAACCACCUCAAACUAACUGAGCAAGAGAUAGCAAAUGCGUUAGACUUCAACACUAUCUCAAAAUCUUUUUUUUUUUUGAAAAGUUCACCGAACCCAAAAAGGGCGCCUACGUAUCUCACCCCCGAGAGAGGAGAAUCAGGUGUGCGUAGUUCAUAAAGUCUUGCCAAAAUGGCCAAUUAAACUCUUUUUCCAUUCUUCCUUAUUUUUCUUGAAACUUAAAUAAGAAAAGAAAAUAAAUUUUUCAAAAGAAUCGACGAAAAUCUUUUUUGAAUUUUUCAGCUUCCUAUACAAAAUGAAACUUAUGAUAACCCAAAAAGAAUCUUUUUGGGUUUUCGAUUUUGCAUUUCAUAUGAAAAUGAAACUUGAACCUAUUAAAGGAUUUUUUUUGUGUGGUUUUCUUUUAGAAGAUGUAUAUGAACACCUACUCUAAAUGAAGAGUGAAGAAAAUCUUUUUAGAUUUUUCAAAUAAGAUCAACCAAAAAUGAAACCUACGACUAUUAAGGAAAAUCUUUUUGUAGUUUACUUUUCGAGGCAUAUGUGAAACACCUACUCUAAAUAAAGAGUAAACAAAAUUUUUUUUUCUUUUUAAAUAAGAUCCCCGAAUCAAUAGGCUAUCUACGUAUCUCACUCCCGAGAGAGGAGAAUCAGGGGUGCGUAGUUCAUCCAGAUUGGACAAUUAAGGAUUAAUUAACAAACUACACCAAACUUGAGAGACACGACCAAAGACUAACGAUGAAAAAUGUCAAUAAAAUCUUUUUUGGAGUUUUCAACUUGACACUCCAAAUAAAAAUGACACCAACAAUUAUGAAAGAAAAAAUCUUUUUGGUAUUUUCAUUACAUGAAAUGUACAAAUUUCUACCGGUUUUUUUGCAUUUUCUUUUAUAAAAAUUGCUAAAAAAUUUUUUUUUGAAAAUUUCGAAUUAUGAAUGCAUGCUAAAGGAGAAAAAGGAAAAUAUUUUUGAUGUUUUGGUUUUUGAAUAAAUGAGUGCAGAAAAUAAAGACAUCUUUUUGAAUUUUUGAAUUGUGAAAAACAAAAGCCAUAAAGAAGCCUAAAAACUACCAAAUCACUUUUUUUUUCACUCUUUUUUUUGUUCCUUUUUUCAAUAAUUUCCAUUUACACACAUUGCUUCUAACUCAUGUUUUUGCCCAAAUCAGUCUAUCAAAUGACCUCAUUACCCUCAAAUAUGCAACAUUUAGCACGUAGGGAUGCUUUAGAGGUGAGUUUCCUACAAAGGACCAAGUGGGCCCAGCUAGGUCUUCAAUAUGAUGCACAUAAGCAUGACCUAAAGGCUGACCUACGUUGGGGUUCACUAACAAGGCUAUUUGGGGAGGUAUGAUCGAUAGUUGCUGCUUUGCUUUCCACCUACUCCAUAACACCGAUGGCUCCCCCCUAAAAUAAGGGUGACUCAACUAAAGGUCGUGUACAACACGUGUACUACGGACUUGUUGCAGAAAGAAUGACUCGGGUUAUGUACAUGAUGCCAAAUAUAAAGCGUUAACACAUAAACAAAAGACUGUAAACAUGUAGUACGUAGGCACUCAAAAAUGAUAAAAUAAACAACAAACGAUAACACAAACAAUGUUUAUACACCCAUAAUGCCAAACUAAGCCAAUACGACUCCAAAAAUAAGCUCGAAUUCUGAAAAAUCUCCAGCGAAGUCACCAAAGCUGUCACACCCCUUUUUUAACUCAAAAAGAUUAGAUUUAUAGUUCGAAAGGAUUUUCAUUAUUAAAGUGACAAAAAAUUAAAAUUUUGUUUCGAAAAGAAUUAUUUACAUUUAAACUCAGAGUCGCCACUUGACAUAAAUCAGGUGUGCCAAGUCACCCGUGGAUAUCCUUUUUCAAAAUGGUUUUGACUCUAUAAAACUGAUCCACGAACAGAGAUUCCGGCUAAGAAAUUCUGUUGACCGAGGGGAAGGUGUUAGGCACCUCUUGAUCCCGUGGUUCGACCAUGGUCGCUUGGUGGAGUAUAUUGGCUAAUUUGAACACUAUGAAUGUAUAAAAUACACCAAACAUAAAUAAAAUGAUCAAUCAAGCAAACAAGUCCAAAAACAAUGUCCAGUCCAAUUAUACAAUCCAAAAUAGAAAAAAGAAUGCGAAAAUGUAAAUCCUAUUCUACCCUACACUAAUUUUAUACUACGCUCCCAUGCUACCCGAUGCAUCGGACCUUUAUCACAGACGUCCUCCAAAUACAAAAUACUUCGAGGCAUUCCCCGGCGAAUAAAUACAAGUGAUCGCGGGGCAUUCCCCGAUUAAAUGAAUACAUUUUCAAAUGCACGAACUAAAACCAAACCGUUCAACUCAAAUUCCACAUUCAAACAUUCAACAAGAAAACUUAUUCCUAAAUUUUUGCCUACCCGAACCAACAUUCGCCUAUCCAUUUCAACAUAUCAUAAUUUUAUCACAUUCCAACAAUAUUCAUGCUCAUUACGAAUUAAAAAAAACAACAAUAAACCAAAGGUAAUAUAAAUUCAACAUUUUUAUCAAUUUCUCAAUUUCAUCCCCCAAAUCCAUUUUUAACCACAUUAUUAAACUAGGUCGACUAUCAAAUCACUUUUCAAAAUCCGAAACCAACAACAUAUACCCCAACGAAGAUUCAAACAUUUAAGCAUACCAAUCAUUCAUAUUCACAACAACAAUUAACAUUUUGCUCGAAAUAUUCAAAACCGCACCACAAAAUCAUGAUAUUAACCAACUUCGAUAUAAUAAAAAAGUAGAGUUGAGAGAUAGACCUUUGAAGAAUCGAUUUCAUUGAUAAUAAAAUCAAGAAAGUCCGGACUAUAGAAUUCCUAAUAGGACCUCAACAAUGAUGAACUCCAACUCCGUAUUGAAAAAUUUGUGACCCAAAACUGAAGCUUCGUGAAUCCAAUCGAACCCGAAAAUCAACACUGUUCAUGGCACUGUUCAUGGCACUGUUCACGAUACUGUUUCUCUCUCGAUUUUUUUCUCUCUCACGCGAUUCUCUCUUCUCUCCCUCGUGUUUUUUUCUUCUUCUUGUGAGGAAGAUGACUUGGUGAUUGUUGUUAUUGUGGAGAAGAUGAUGAUGGAAGAAUGAGCCUCUCCCUUUUCCUCUUUUAGAAUUUUUCUUUUAUAUUUUUUAUUUGGUUUUCCUUUUUCUUUAUCUAUUAUCCUACGUGGAAGCAUAUAAUUGGUGACUUGUGGGAAUAAGUGUGUGGCAUGUAGAAAAGUUAGUGUGGCAUGUGGAAAGACGAGGGUGGCGUGUGGAAAAAUGAGUAGGGCAUGUGCCUUUUGCAUGUAUCCAAUGAAAAAUGAAAAGUGAGGUGUUGAGGUGGCAUAGUGAGGUGACAAAGAUGCUCUGUAUUUAAUUAUUUUCAAUUCUUUUUUGGGGGAGAAUUAUCAUGUUGACACAUCCAGAUUGCAUUAGAUCACUAUGGCGUUGGGAUAAGCCUUUAUGCGAGGAACUUGACUUAUGGGGUUGGAAUUCACUGGACGUUAAAUUAGGAUUACAAGACGUAGUUUCUGCCAUGCUGGGGUGGAAAAUAUCCUUAGUGUACCUUCCGGCAGGCAGUGAAAAUGACUGGACGAUAGCAAUUCACAUUGCAGCCAGUGAAGGUGAUCUAAACAUUAUAACUAAGCUAUUAAAUCACGUACAUAUACUCCUAUAGUCCGUCCCUCUUCUCCCGACCCCACACAUAGCGGGAGCUUGUGCACGGGGCUGCCCCCUUGAAUUCAAUGUUCCUAACCUUCCACUAUUUACCGACUGAACCCCAUCACUUUGUUAAGGUACUUAAGAAGCAACCUGUGAUGAUAUUCUCUUGUUUUUCUCUUUUUUCUUUUUUUGGUUCCUUCCUUUCUUAACUUGUAAAGUCGAGUAUGUUGUAGCUGCCUAAUGUGUUAGUCAUACAAUUUGGUGUUUGAAGUUGAUAAAGAUGCUACAAGAGCAAGCUACUGUAGAUAAUAUUACUUGUUAAUAAGAAGUACCGUUGCUUUGGUGAAAGAAUAGGCCUUGUGAUCUGAAACUUCCUAUGUAACUCACAUAGAGACCGGGGUCUAUGUUACAACCUUGACUGGCUUGCAGUUCUUCAAUCUUUUUUAUAAUGUUCUUGAGUGAUAGAUAUGUCAUCAACAUCUUGUUUCAAAAUUAAUAUGAAUUCAUAUUGUAUAAUAUUUUCAUUAUUAAAGAUAACUUACUUUAGAGCAAGCUAUAUGAUGUGUGAUCGGAGUUUUCCUCUCUCAAAUCAAAUAUGCCACUGCCUCUCCGAUACGAUUGGAGCUUUAAUUCUAGUAUGUUUCUUUACACUUCUCAUAAAAAAAUCCUUGCUAAACACAGUACCUGCAAUUUUGGACGGGGUCCCAGUAUAGCUAAUCUGAGCCCCUCCGCAAAGAUUCCAGUAAGGGAUUCUUGUAGAGGAAUAUGUUGUGUUUAGAGCAGCCACGGUAAAAGGCCUUUUCCGGAGCAUUUUACUUUGGUAUCCUUCUAUCGGCCUCUUCUUCUCUAUUCUUGAAUUAGAAUUCAAGUUGUUGGAAAUGUGCUGCUGGUUUUCAGUUUGGAUUUCGUAGAUCCGCGAGGAGCAUAUAUAUGUUGAGUAAAGGGAAAAGGAGCAACGUCCGCCAAUCUCACGCGGUUAUUAUUUUGGUAAGUUCCCUCUUUAGCUCAUGUAAGUUGUCUACAAGAUUUUCUUUGUUCCUCAACCUAAAUUACUAGUCAUGUUUUGUUCGUUUCUUAAGUAAUUGACUACUCUACAUGUUUGUUUUAGGAGGUUUAAUAAGUUGUUAAAACUGUUUAUGUUCAUGAUAUUCUUUCAAUUUUGACAUGAAAGCGAAAUACGAGAACAUCAAAAUCACGUUCUUAUGAUCAAGGCAAACACCAGAUCCCUUUUUUCUUAGAGAUUCAUUAAGAAUCUAAUUAUUUUUUUCUGUUAGGAUAAGAGACAUCAUAUCUGUCCAGAUUUUCAGCACAUAGAUUUCAGAUUAUAAAUGUGUAAUAUUUGUGUAACUAGCUUUUAAUACUAAGAUAUAGGAGAUAUUCUUAGAGAUUUAAUAGUUAGAAAUGACCGAUAUUAGAGGAUACAUGGCAGAUAUUAGGGGAUUCAGGGAAGAUCUUUAGGGAUGUACAAGGAGAACUCUUUCUAUUUAAUGACAAAACUCUCAACUUGAGAGAUCAUUCAGCAAAAUUGACAUUUUCUAUAUAAUAAUAUUUUGUCCAGAGAAAGAGAAGACUCAUAGGAUUAUCAUUGGGAGAUCUUGGAUAAAACAAACCAAAUCAAAAGGAAUGGAGUCGACCUUGUAUAAUGCUGCGAUGAGAGGCAAUAUCGGAGAUGGCAAUUUUCUGCUUCUUGAUCAUUUGAAAAGGAAAGAAGAAAAUGGCUACCAAGUCACUCCAAAAGGGCAACACGGUCCUCCAUGUCGCAUCCCUCUAUGGAAACUCCCAUUUCGAUGUGACCUUCAUUAGCUGCUAUGUGUAGCGCAGUCUCGUUCUUCUUAUUCUGAUGGCAUAACAAAGCCGGAGUAAUCUUAAAGACUUCUGCCGCAAAAUGGGAGUGGCCAUAAUGGGCCGCCACGUGUAAGAUUGUGUUUCCCGUUGGAGUGACUUGGCACUCAUUUUCUUCAUUCCUUUUCAGAUAUUCAGCAAGUAAGAAAUCACAGCAACAUUGUACAAGGUUGGAUCCAUUUUCGUUUCUUUUAUUUGGUUUGCCGGUGAGUUACUUACUUUGCUUUCUCUGGAUGAAAUAUUCUGAACACCACGCAGAUCUUUGCCUUUGAUCAAAAGAAAGGUAUUUAUUGUUUUCUUUGAUCCGAAGAAAGAAUUCGUAAAGAAAAACAACAUGAAUAAAAAACAGCUUUUCACUAUUUAAGAUCUUCUUAUGACCCUUUUUUCCAACACAAACAAAACUAGGUAAUUGAAAAUGAUAGAACAAGAAAAAUAUUAUGAUGCAGUCCAGAUAAAUUUGGAAAAUCAAGUUUUACCAAUCUUUUCAUAUUACAAAUUCAAUGCUUUAUUGUAAACAGAUGUGAAACAGAGAAGUAUAUGCAGAAAUUUUUAAGACUAAAGAUUUCCUUCUCAAGGCUUGAAGCUGUGUACGCUUCACACUAGCAGUGCUUUGAUAUUUCUUUUUUAUGGAGUCCCAAAUAUCCUUAGAAUUUUCUUUGUAAAGAAUAGUUUCUAGGAUGGGACGAUUGAUAGCCUGAAAGAGAUAAUUCUUCACUUUCAAAUCUUUCAGUUUUUUUGCUUCCAACUCUAUUUUUUGAGCAUUCGUUAAAAUUUUGCCUACUGCCGGAGUAUCGAUGCCAUCCUCUACAAUUGGCCAAUACUCAUUUGACCGUAAGAAAUUCUCCACCAGCAUGCUCCAAUGGUCAUAGUGACCAUCAAACUGAGGAAUUGUUGCUUGUACAAAAUUACUAUCUGAUGCCAUGAGUGUUACAGAAUAGUGAAGAGAGGUUUAGCUGCUGUUGUAUUUUUUUCUUUACUGCAGCAUCUCAUGCUCUCUCUGAUACCACUGUAAACAAAUGUGAAACAGAGAAGUAUAUGCAAAAAUUUUUAAGACUAAAGAUGGAGUCAAUACACUGAAUUUAAUGGAACUAUCUUGACUGAUAUUCAUAGUCGUAGGCUGCUGAUUUUAUACACAGAAAUAUUGUUCCUUCAUUGUUGAGAUCUCACAGGAAAUAAUACUUCACAUCAAUGUGCUUGCUUCUUCCAUGGUUCACAGGAUUCUUUGACAACUUGAUUGCAGAAUUGUUGUCACAAAAUAUCAUAGUAGCACUUUCCAUCUUGAAUUGCAACUCUUUAGGGAUUCUCCUAAGCCAAAUAGCUUGACAAGCACAAGCUGUAGCAGCAACAAAUUCAGCUUCUGUACUUGAUAAUGUGACAACUAUUUGCUUUUUGGAAGACCACGAUACAGCCCCUGUGCCUAGCAUAAAGACAUAUCUGAUGUGCUCUUUCUACCAUCUUGAUCUCCUGCAUAAUCUCUAUCAGUAAAGUCAAUCAAAUCUGCCUUUUCUCCCUUCCUAUAGAAAAUUCCAAAAUCCUUGGUUCCUUGUAAGUAACGAAGAAUUCUCUUCGCAGCUAAGAGAUGCAUUUCAGUUGGGCACUCCAUAUAUCUACUUACAAGACUAACAUCAUACAUGAUGUCUGGUCUUGUAGCAGUUAGGUACAUUAGACUACCCACAAUUUGCUUGUAAAAAGUGCUAUCCGUCUUUUUUCCGCUCCCAGCUUUGGUUAGUUUCAAGCCAAACUCAACUGGAAUGUUGGUUGGAUUGCAAUGCUGCAUCUUAAACCUGUUUAAAAUUUCUCUCACGUACUUCUUUUGGGAAACAAAUAUGCCAUCAUCAGAUUGCACUACUUCUAAACCAAGAAAGUAAUGCAUCUUACCAAGAUCAGACAUCUCGAAUUCAUCCAUCAUACACUUCUUGAAAUUAGAAAACAUGUCACUAUUAUUCCCCAUGAAGAUGAGAUCAUUGACAUACAAACACGCAAUGAGCAUUUUUCCAUUCUCCCCAAUUUUCACAAAAAGUGUAGGCUCAUAUGGACACUUUUGAAAACCCAUUUUCUGAAAAUAAGCCUCAAUGCGACUAUACCAAGCCCGUGGGGCUUGUUUUAGUCCAUAAAGAGCUUUCAUUAAUCGAUAAACUUUAUGCUCACUUCCAAUCUUAACAUAUCCAGGGGGUUGUUCGAUAAAUACCUCUUCCUCCAAGCAUCCGUGUAGAAAUGCUGAUUUGACAUCCAAUUGGAAGAUCGGCCACGAAUUUUGUGCUGCCAAGGAAAUUAGCAUUCUAAUAGUGUCAUGCCUUACAACUGGAGCAAAAACUUUAGUAUAAUCCACACCAUACUCUUGCUUGUAUCCCUUAGCCACCAAUCGCGCCUUGUCGAUUUCACCAUUUUCUUUCAGUUUCGUCUUAUAGACCCACUUAACACCAAUAAUCUUGUGUUUCUCAGGAAGAUCAAUAAGUUCCCACGUAUCAUUCCUUUCAAUAGCUUCAAUUUCAUCAUCCAUCGCCUUUCUCCAUUUUUCUUCUUUAACAACUCUCAAAAAUAAUCGGGUCACAGUCUACAAACAAUGCAAAAUGGUUAACCGCAUCAUUAUUUGCAUUAAUUCCUGUUACCUCAUAGUCCAUCAUCCACACGGGCUUUUUGCGAGCACGAUGAAGAGACUGAGCUGCUGCAUCAGUUUCUUCUAAAGCUGUUGGUAAAGUUUCAGCAGUUGGUGAACUUUCAGCAAGAGUUGGUAAAAUUUCAGUAGCUGUGGGAGUUGAAUUCACUGCACUUUCGGAUAUUACAUCUACUUCUUCAGCUCCUGUAUCAAAUAUGAUUGGAGUAGACUGCUGCAUACUCCAAUCCCAAGUGUUUUCUUCAUUAAAAAUAACAUCUCUACUGAUUACAAUCUUCUUUGUCAGUGGAUUAAGCAAUUUAUAUGCCUUUGAUGCUUCACUAACACCGAGAAAGAUACAUUUUUCGCUUUUGUCAUCAAGCUUCUUCCUCUUCUUGUCUAGAAUAUGCGCAUAGGCAAUGCAACCGAAAAUUCGAAAGUGGUCCACAGUUGGUUUUCUUCCACUCCAAGCUUCCUCUAGAGUCAUGUUUUGAACAACAAAUAUUGGACUUCUAUUUAAUACAUGAUUGAUCCAAUUUACCGCUUCUGGCCAGAAAGUCUUUUCCAUUUUUCCUUUGGCCAGCAAACUCCACACCAUAUUGAGAAUGGUUCUAUUCUUCCUCUCUGAUACACCAUUUCGCUGUGGUGUAUAAGCAGUGGUGAGCUCUCUUCGAAUUCUACUAAAUUCACAAAAAUCUUCAAAGAGUUUUGAGCAAUACUCGCCCCCACGAUCAGUUCGAAGAGUCUUUAUGACCCUUCCGGUUUCAUUUUCUACAUGAGUCUUGAAGCUUUUAAAUGCUCGAAAAGCUUCUGAUUUUUCUUGUAAAAAAUACACCAAAGUUUUUCGGGAAUAGUCAUCCGUAAAGGUAAUGAAAUACCUUUUACCUCCAUUAGAAAUUGGUUUAAUUGGGCCAAGAUAUCUGAAUGCACCAGCUCCAAAAUACCCUUUGCUCUCCACGACUUCCCUUUUUGGAAAUUGAGAACCAUGUUGCUUGCCAACAACACAUUCUUAACAAACUUGGGAAGGGAUGAUGAUUUCUGGAAGACCGAUCACCAUAUUUUUCUAUUGGAGAGUUUUUAAUCCACCAAAACCCAAGUGACCAUAUCUAAAAUGCCACAUCCAUGAGGGAUCUUUUACUUCCGCCUUUAAACAAGACUGAAUACUCUCAAUAUUCAAGGGAAAUAAUCUCUUUGAAUUCAUUUUUGCAACAGCAAUAGCUCCUCUAGUAGGACUAUAAAUCUCACAAACAUCUUUCCCGAUGAAAAUAGAAUAUCCUUUUUCUUGCAAUUGUCGAACACUCAAUAAGUUGCUUUUUAAAGUGGGAACAUAAAACACAUUUAAUAUUAUUUAUUCAAAACCAUUCUUGGGUUUAGUUUUAAUAUCACCUGUUCCCAUUGUAUCCACAGUAGAGCAAUGUCACGACCCGAACCAAGGCCUGGCCGUGACGAGCAUUUCGAACCAUAGAGGCCCGAAACACCCCUAUCUGUCACGUAAUUAUGCACCUAAUUCAUAUGAUCAAAGUAAUGCGGAAGAAACACAAUAAUUCGGAAACAUGGUCAUAAAUAUGAAAAGAAACAAUAACGGGGAGAUAAGGUUCCCUCAACAUCAAUUAACCUCUAAACAACUGUCUGCGAAAAUAUCUAACAAAUGACUGAGUCAAGUAACCGUAUAUAAACUGGGACAAGGCCCCCAGUAGACCCUAAAACUGAAUAUAAAAUAAAAGGACUGCAGGACAUAAGACCUUUCGAAAUAUAAAAGGCUCACCACUUGUCUCUACAUCUCUUGACCCCUAGACUGGGCCUCUGAACCUGAGAGGUUGGAGAGGGGAGGGGGUCAGCACAAAAGUAUUGGCACGCAGAGUCAAAACAAAACAUAAUAUUUUUUACAAUACAUAGUUGAGAGCCAUUAUAAAGCAAUUUCGUAUCAAAUCAUUUGAAAACACAUGGGUGUAAUGCAAUAGUUUUCUCAAUAAUAAUGAAAUGCAACUGAGUUAGGUGGAAUACCCUAUAUAAUUUACACCAACUGUCAAACCUCGAUUGCCGCCGAGAUUAGAGUAUAAGUGAGGGAGAGACACACAAGAUCACAUAGCAUGGUGUCUCGACCCAAUGGUAGUGCCCAAGAUCACUUGGCCUGGGCUCCUACCUAUAGUACCAAUUUGGGAAUGACAUGAAGUCAAGUACACAAGAUCACUUAGCCUGGUACCAAUAUUCCGUGUCGACAAACACGUUUUACAGCGAUGAGCCCUUGUAUCUCAAACGCCUUCUUCGGGCAUCCACCUUUCUCAUGUAAAAUCAAUGCAUUCAAAUUUUAUCUUAUUCAAUCACAUAUCAUAUUCUGAAGGGUAUCAUCAUACCUGACUUGCAAGUCAUGAAUAUCACAUCAACAUAUGCAUAAUCAUGUAAAAACCAAGGUGCUUCAUCAUUUACAAGUGGUGAACAAUAUUUAUUUCAAAUUCAUGCUCUUUUUUGUUGAUCACAAUACAAUAUGGAGUAUCGAAACAUUAUCAUGGGAAUUUGAAAAUAAUUUAUCAUUCAUAUUUAUCAAACUUCCAUGGAAAAUCUCAAAUCACAUAUGCAUGGUUUCAACCAUUGAAGUAUAUAGGCAAACAAUUCCCAUGACAUAAAGAAAAAUGACUUAGAAAUCAUAUUGAAAGCAAGNNNNNNNNNNNNNNNNNNNNNNNNNNNNNNNNNNNNNNNNNNNNNNNNNNNNNNNNNNNNNNNNNNNNNNNNNNNNNNNNNNNNNNNNNNNNNNNNNNNNNNNNNNNNNNNNNNNNNNNNNNNNNNNNNNNNNNNNNNNNNNNNAUGUAAUUAUCUUUGAAAACCUACGGUCAAAUCUUGAACUAUUUGGGUUUUUAUUUUGAAACCCUAAGGAGAAUCAUUGAGCACUUUUGAUGAAAGAAUAAGUAUUUUGGGGUCCUUGGAACUAGAUUUCGUGUUUUAGGGCUAAGUAAGGGUGGAAAAGGACCACUUUGUCCUCAACACGGAGUGUUUAAGUCACUAGAUUUCUUUACAUAGGCGCCGCCCAUCCCAUUGCCUAUGUUCACAUAGGCGCCGCCUAGGCUAUCGCUUAUGUUUACAUAGGCGCUGCCUAGGCUAUCACCUAUGUUUACAUAGGUGCCGCCUAGGCUAUUGCCAAUGCUUUCCUGUGGCCAUGGGCGAUUGAUUAGGCGACGCAUAUCACUUUGAAAGGCCAUAACUUCUUGCUCGGGUGUCGGAUUUUAGCCAAAUUGGUAUCGUUGGAAAGAUAACUCGAAUACCUAUCAUUUGACACAUAGUAGGCUUUAUAAUUCGACAUAUACAAAGAGUUAUGGUCGAUGGAAGCUGACAUACUUUACAACAUCCACUAAAACUUAGUCGAUCGAAAUAGUUUCAACUCAUCCUUGAGUUGAAGGAUCUCUAUGGUCUAAAUUCAAGCUUGAAUGGAUUCACAUGCUACACAAUAAUUAACAUACCGUAUUGGGAUAGGAUUUUAUGGCUUCAGAAUUAACAACGCAUCGAAAUCAUGAUCUAUAUUGUAGCCCAAAUUGUGGGGCAUUACAUUAUCCCCCCCUUAGGAUCAUUCGUCCCCGAAUGAUGAUGUAGGACACAGACAGACAUGAUUUCAAGCAUAAUAAAGGACUAGGAAAGAUAAUAUAGGAAUAGUACCUUCUGUCUCCUUCUCUAUCGAAGCAAACAAAUUAGGAUACCAAAUUCUCAUGUCAUCUUCUGACUCCCAAGUUGCUUCUUCGACUUUAUGAUUCCUCCACAGUACCUUCACUGAGGCUAUCUCUUUGCUCCCCAGCUUUUGAAUUUGGCGAUCUAAAAUUUCAACGGGCUCUUCUUCAUAAGACAAGGAGUCUGUCACUUUGAUACCCUCUACUGGCAAUACCAUAGAAUGAUCUCUAAUGCAUUUCUUCAACAUGGAUACAUGGAAUACCGGAUGAACGGAACCCAAACUUGCAGGCAAUUCUAACUCAUAUACAACUGUACCAAUCUUUUUCAAAAUCUGAUAUGGCCCUACAUAACGAGGGCUCAAUUUACCCCUUUUUCCAAACCGCAUCACUUCUUUCAUAGGAGAAACCUUGAGAAACACCCAAUCACCAAUUUCAAACUCUAGUUCUCUUUUUCAAACAUCAGCAUAAGACUUCUGACGACUCUGAGCAGUCUUGAGUCAUUCUCUAAUGAUCUUCACUUUCUCCAUCAUCUAAUAAACAAGAUCAAGCCCCCAUCCUAUCGGAGAUCUACAUCUCCUCUCAUACAAAGGUUAAAAAGGAGCCAUCUUGAUGCUGGCAUGGUAGUUAUUAUUGUAAGCGAAUUCAACUAGUGGCAGGUAAUCUACCCAACUACCUUUGAAAUCAAUGACGCAUGCCCUCAACAUAUCUUCGAGGGACUGAAUGGUGUGCUCAGCUUUUCCAUCCGUCUGAGGGUGGAAAGCUGUGCUCAAAUUCACUUGUGUACCUAAACUCUUCUAAACGGAUCUCCAAAACUGAGAUGAAGACCGCAUAUCUCUAUCGGAUAUAAUGGACACUGGUGCCCCAUGCAAUUCAACUAUAUCCUCAAUGUAAAUCUUAGUAUAAACCUCUCCCGAAUAAUUUGUCCUCACAGGCAAAAAGUGGGUUGACUUGGUCAACCAAUCUACAAUCACCCAUAUAGAAUCAUACUGGUUUUGGGAUCUCAAAAGUCCUGUAACGAAGCCCAUGUUUAUCAUCUCCCACUUCCAUAAAGGCAGGGCUAUCUCUUGGGAAGUACCACCUGGCCUCAUGUGUUCUACCUUCAGUUGUUGACAGUUCAAACACUUGGACACAAAAUUAACUACAUCAUGUUUCAUGUUAUUCCACCAAUACAAGGUUUUCAGAUCAUGGUACAUCUUAGUAGAGCCUGGGUGAAUGACAUACCUCGAAGUGUGCGUCUUAUUAAGGAUUCUUUCCCAUAGCCCAUCGACAUUCGAAAUGCACAACCUACCCUAAAAUCUUAGAAUACUAUCGCCACCGAUUUCAAACGACAAAACCUUUUGUUGACCCACAUCUCUCUUGAUUUGCAUCAAGAUGCGAUCUUCAACCUGUUUCUCCUUAACUUUAGCACAAAGAGAUGACUUAGCUAACUCAUGAACAAUCACCCCUCCAUCUUUGGAAUCUAAGAGUUGCACUCCCAGAUUUGCAAGGCGGUGAAUAUCCUUCACCAUCUCUUUCUUUCCUUCUUCUACAUGAGAAAGGCUGCCCAUAGACAACCUGCUGAGGGCAUCGGCUAUAAUAUUUGCCUUGCCCGAAUGGUAAUAUAGACUCAUAUCAUAGUCUUUUAAAAGCUCCAUCCAAUGUCUCUGCCUGAGGUUCAAUUCUUUCUGUGAGAAAACAUACAGUAAACUCUUAUGGUCAGUAUAAAUAUCAACAUACACUCUAUAGAGAUAGUGCCUCUAGAUUCUAAGUGCAAACACCAAGGCUUCUAACUUCAAGUCAUGAGUGGGGUAAUUGCAUUCAUGCACCUUUAACUGCCUAGAUGCAUAAGCUAUCACCUUACCACGCUGAAUCAAUACACAACCAAGUCCCACAUGGGAUGCAUCAUAAUAAACCACAAAAUCAUCUACACCCUCGUGAAGUGUCAAAACAGGAGCAGUAGUCAUCUUUUCCUUCAAUUUCUCAAAACUGUUUUCACACAAGUCAGACCACACAAACUUCAUCAUUUUUUGAGUCAGUUUAGUAAGCGGAGCAGCUAUGGAAGAAAAACUCUCUACGAACCUUCUGUAAUACCCCGCCAAACCCAAGAAGCUCCGAAUAUCGGUUAGAGCCGUGGGUCUGAGCCAUUUUCUUACUGCUUCAACUUUCUGGGGAUCCACUCUUAUCCCGUCACUGUACACAAUAUUCCCUAGGAAGGCAAUAGCGUCUAACCAGAAUUCACACUUAGAAAAUUUGGGAUACAACUGAUGAUCCUUAAGGGUCUGAAGAAUAAUUCAAAGGUGAUUGGCGUGAUCCUCUUUACUCUUAGAAUAGAUCAGAAUAUCAUCAAUAAAUACAAUAAAGAACAAGUCGAGAAACUGAUGGAACACUCUAUUCAUAAGAUCCAUGAAGACUGCAGGGGCGUUAGUCAACCCGAAGGACAUGACUAGAAAUUCGUAGUGACCAUAUCGGGUUCAAAAGGCUGUCUUGGGUAUGUCUGACUCCCUAACUGUCAACUAAUGAUAACCCGAACAAAGUUCUAUUUUUGAAAACUACUUGGCACCCUAAAGCUGGUCAAAAAGGUCAUCAAUCCUAGGAAGAGGAUAUUUAUUUUUAAUCAUGACCUUAUUCAACUGACGGUAGUCUAUGCACAUCCAAAGGGACCCAUCCUUAUUUCGCACUAAGAGCACGGGUGCACCCCAUGGGGAAACACUAGGAUGAAUGAAACCUUUGUCUAGGAGGUCUACAAGCUGUUCCUUUAAUUCCUUUAGUUCUGCGGGAGACAUUCUAUAUGACGGAAUAGAAAUAGGGCGAGUGUCUGGCAACACAUCAAUGCCAAAAUCUAUCUCCCUAUCAGGGGGUAUUCCUGGAAGAUCUUCGGGAAAGACUUCUGGGAAUUCAUUCACUAUUGGGACUGAUUGCAGAGGAAGGUUUCCAACUUUUAAAUCUUUUACUCGGAUUAGAUAAUACAUACAACCUUUGAAAAUAAGCUUUUGGGCUCUAAGAUAAGAGAUAAAGUGACCUCUAGGUUCCACAGAACUCCUUGCCCAUAUAAUUGGUGUAUCACUCGGAAAAGAAAAAGUGACCUUUCGGGUUCUGCAAUUAAGGGUGGCAUAACACGAAUGGAGCCAGUCCAUCCCAAGGAUAGCAUUAAAAUCUAUCAUAGCCAGUUCUAUAAGGUCUGCCACAGUUUCCCUACUAUGAAUAGACACGACAAAAUUUCUAUAUACCCUUUUAGCAACAACAGAAUCACCUACAAGAGUGGAAACAGAGAAGGGUUAUACAAUAACUUCGGGCUCAAAUCCAAAACCAACAGCCACAUAAGGGGUCACAUAAGAUAAAGUAGACCCGGGAUCAAGCAAUACAUAAAAAUCAUGAGAAAAGAUCCGUAACAUACCGGUGAGAACAUCUGGUGAAGCUUCCACCUCCUGGCGGUUAAUCAAAGAAUAUAACUGGUUGCGACCGCUUCCGAUAGCUGAAGGGGCACCCUUAGGAAAAGGAGCUAUGGAGGCGGCUUGGGACUUAGCCCCCCCUGCAUUUACUCCAGCAGAAGGACAAUCUCUCUGAAGGUGACCCACUUUACCACAAGUAUAGCAGUUUCUCCCCUUAAACCAGCACUUUCCUAGAUGAUUCCUUCCACAAACCUUACACUGUGGAUGAGUACGACGCUACUGGGCCACACUGCCCUGAGACUGUGUACCUAGAGCUUUGGACCCAUGAGGAGUCUGAAAACUCUGAGUUUGUCUAUCUGUCAGCGGUCUGGGUGCUGGGGUGCUAGCUGCUGAUUGUGCGUUAUUCCAAAACUUCUUCUUCUUCAACCACUUAUUACCCCAACUACCAUUUUAUGGCUGACUCUGGUGCUGGUCCGUAGAUCUAGCUCUCUUAGCCUGUCUGUCUUUCUCUCUAGAUUUAGCAAUCUUUUUCUUUUUCUCUUCCACCUGCUGCAUAUGAACGGUCAGUCGAGCAAAGUCUAACUCCUUAUUCAACAUAGCCCCUUGGCACUCAAGUGCCAGGUUAUCAGCAAGGCCAGAUGCAAAUUUCCUCAUCCGGGCUCUCAUAUUACUAGUCAACUCUAGUGCAUAGCGGGCUAGUUUAUUAAACUUAAAAGUGUACUCCUGGACACUCAUACUGCCCUUCUUCAGAUUCAUAAACUCUUUCGCUUUGGUCUCCCUCAAAUCCAGAGGAAAGAAUUGAUCAAGGAAAUCUUCCACAAAUUUGCCCCGAACUGUGGGCUCAACACUUUCACCUUUUUCAUCUUCCCAGUCGGCAUACCACUGAUUUGUAACGUCGUUCAGCUGAUAGGUUACUAGCUCCACCCCUUCAACCUCAUCCACAUGCAUCACCUUAAAGAUCUUUUCCAUCUCAUCCACGAACACCUGUGGAUCUUCCUCCACCUUGGUGCCAGUGAAUUUAGGUGGGUUCAUCUUUAUGAAAUUUCCGACUCUAGUAGCCUCAGACGUAACAGAUGCAGACCCAACAUCUUUCGAUCAUUGAUCCUGGUUAGCUAUCAACUGUGUCAGCAUAUAAAUGGAUCGUCUGAAUUCUGCAUUUGAAAUAUCUCCCUGAUCAGUUGGGGGACGGUUGGCAUUAGUCUGCGGAUCCCAAAGUGUACUGGUCGGGAUCAGAAGGACUCCUAAAGUAGGGACAAAUUCUGGAGUUUGAGCCCUAUUACGGGUCCGCAUCCCAUGGGUGGGACGGACCUCAUCUGCCUGAGCAUUCUGAUCGAUGAUACGACAUGGAGGCAUAACUAUGUUUCUGAAACACAAGUGAUCACUGAUUAGAGGACAGUUCAAACUCUGAAGCACAAACUAAAUCACAAAGAAGGGAAAUAUUUCCUAAACACCUAGUAGCCCCCUGCUUAUAAGUGUGGCACACUACACACCCAUAAAUAAGAUUCUACCUGAUGCGAUUUUGCAGACACUGUGGGACGAUGAAUCAUGCUCUGAUACCAAUAUUGUCACGACCCAGACCAGGGCCAGGCCGUGAUAAGCAUUUAGAACCAUGGAGGCCCGAAACACCCCUAUCUGUCUGGUAAUCAUGCAUCUAAUUCAUAUGAUCAAAGUAAUGCGGAAGAAACACAAUAAUUCAGAAACAUGGUCAUAAAUAUGAAAAGAAACAAUAACGGGGAGAUAAGGUUCACUCAAUAUCAAUUAACCUCUAAACAACUCUCUGUGAAAAUCUCUAACAAAUGACCGAAUCAAGUAACCGUAUAUAAACUGGGACAAGGCCCCCAGUAGACCCUAAAACUGAAUAUAAGAUAAAAGGACUACAGGACAUAAGACCUUCCAAAACAUAGAAGGCUCACCACUUGUCUCUACAGCUCUGUCUGAAAGAUCUAAUGAUUCUCUUGACCCCUAGACUGGGCCUCUGAACCUGAGAGGUUGGAGAGGGGAGGGGGUCAGCACAAAAGUACUGGCAUGUAGAGAUAUAAAAAAACAUAAUAUUUUUUACAAUACAUAGUUAAGAGCCAUUAUAAAGAAAUUUCGUAUCAAAUCAUUUGAAAACACAUGGGUGUAAUGCAAUAGUUUUCUCAACAAUAAUAAAAUGUAACUGAGCUAGGUGGAAUACCCUACAUAAUUUGCACCAAAUGUCAAACCUCGGUUGCCACCGAGAUUAGAGUAUAAGUGAGGGAGAGACACACAAGAUCACAUAGCAUGGUGUCUCGACCCAAUGGUAGUUCCCAAGAUCACUUGGCCCGGGCUCCUACCUAUAGUCCCAAUUUGGGAAUAACAUGAAGUCAUGUACACAAGAUCACUUAGCCUGGUACCAAUAUUUCGUGUCGGCAAACAGGUUUUCCAGCGAUGAGCCCUUGUAUCUCAAAUGCCUUCUUUGGGCAUCCACCUUUCUCAUGUAAAAUCAAUGCAUUCAAAUUUCAUCUUAUUCAAUCACAUAUCGUAUUCUGAAGGGUAUCCUCAUGCCUGACUUGCAAAUCAUCAAUAUCACAUCCACAUAUGCAUAAUCAUGUAAAAACCAAGGUGCUUCAUCAUUUACAAGUGGUGAACAAUAUUUAUUUCAAAUUCAUGCUCUCUUUUGUUGAUCACAAUAUAAUAUGGAGUAUCGAAACAUUGCAUGGUUUCAACUAUUGAAGUAUAUAGGCAAACAAUUCCCAUGACAUAAAGAAAAAGACUUAGAAAUCAUAUUGAAAGAAAAAUAUUAGCAUUUGAUUGAAAACCCCCAUUUAAAAGCAUGCAUGUUCAUAAAAACUACACUCAUGAGAUUUUUGGAUAACCCUACGUACCUCUAUUUCCAAGGAUAAUAGAUGUUUCUUGAAGCUUGCGGAUUGGUGAUUCCAAAGAUGUAAUUAUCUUUGAAAACCUACGGUCAAAUCUUGAACUAUUUGGGUUUUUAUUUUGAAACCCUAAGGAGAAUCAUUGAGCACUUUUGAUGAAAGAAUAUGUAUUUUGGGGUCUUUGGAACUAGAUUUCGUGUUUUAGGGAUAAGUAAGGGUGGAAAAGGACCACUUUGUCCUUAACACGGAGUGUUUAAGUCACUAGAUUUCUUUACAUAGGCGCCGCCCAUCCCAUUGCCUAUGUUCACAUAGACGCCGCCUAUGCUAUCGCCUAUGUUUACAUAGGCGCCGCCUAGGCUAUCACCUAUGUUUACAUAGGCGCCGCCUAGGCUAUUGCCUAUGCUUUCCAGUGGCCAUGGGCGAUUGGUUAGGUGACACAUAUCACUUUGAAAGGCCAUAACGUCUUGCUUGGGUGUCAGAUUUUAGCCAAAUUGGUAUCGUUGGAAAGAUAACUCAAAUACCUAUCAUUUGACACAUAGUAGGCUUACUAAUUCGACAUAUACAAAGAGUUAUGGUUGAUGGAAGCUGACACACUUUACAACGUCCACUAAAACUUAGUCGAUAAAAAUAGUUUCAACUCAUCCUUGGGUUGAAGGAUCUCUAUGGUCUAAAUUCAAACUUGAAUGGAUUCACAUUCUACACAAUAAUUAACAUACCGUAUUGGGAUAGGAUUUUAUGGCUUCGGGAUUAACAACGUAUCGAAAUCAUGAUCUAUAUUGUAGCCCAAAAUGUGGGGCAUUACAUUAUCCCCUCCUUAGGAUCAGUCGUCCCCGAAUGAGGAUGCGGGACACAGACAGACAUGAUUUCAAGCAUAAUAUAGGACUAGGAAAGAUAAGAUAGGUAUAGUACCUUCUGUCUCCUCCUCCAUCGAAGAAAACAAAUUGGGAUACCAAAUUCUCAUGUCAUCUUCUGACUCCCAAGUUGCUUCUUCUUCGUAUGACAAGGAGUCUGUCACUUUGAUACCCUCUACUGGCAAUACCAUAGUAUGAUCUCCAAUGCAUUUCUUCAAUAUGGAUGCAUGGAAUACCGGAUGAACGGAACCCAAACUUGCAGGCAAUUCUAACUCAUAUGCAACUGUACUAAUCUUUUUCAAAAUCUGAUAUGGCCCUACAUAAUGAGGGCUCAAUUUACCCCUUUUUCCAAACCCCAUAACUCCUUUAAUAGGAGAAACCUUGAGAAACACCCAAUCACCAAUUUCAAACUCUAGUUCUCUUCUCCAAACAUCGGCAUAGGACUUCUGACGACUCUGAGCAGUCUUGAGUCGUUCUCUAAUGAUCUUCACUUUCUCCAUCGCCUGAUGAAGAAGAUCAGGCCCAUACAACUGAGUCUCACCCACUUCAUACCAUACUAUCGGAGACCUACAUCUCCUCCCAUACAAAGCUUCAAAAGGAGCCAUCUUGAUGCUGGCAUGGUAGUUAUUAUUGUAAGCGAAUUCAACUAGUGGCAGGUGAUCUACCUAAUUACCUUUGAAAUCAAUGACUCAUGCCCUCAACACAUCUUUGAGGGUUUGAAUGGUACGCUCAGCUUGCCCAUCCAUCUGAGGGUGGAAAGCUGUGCUCAAAUUCACUUGUGUACCUAAACCCUUCUGAACGGAUCUCCAAAAUUGAGAUGAAAACUGCAUAUCUCUAUCGGAUAUAAUGGACACUGGUGCCCCAUGCAAUUAAAAUAUCUCCUCAAUGUAAAUCUUAGCAUAAACCUCUCCCGAAUAAUUAGUCCUCACAGGCAAAAAGUGGGCUGACUUGGUCAACCGAUCUAUAAUCACCCAUAUAGAAUCAUACUGGUUUUGAGAUCUCGGAAGUCCUAUAAUGAAGCCUAUGUUUAUCAUCUCCCACUACCAUAAAGGCAGGGCUAUCUCUUGGGAAGUACCACCUGGCCUCAUGUGUUCUACCUUCACUUGUUGAUAGUUGCAACGCUUAGACACAAAAUCAGCUACAUCAUGUUUUAUGUUAUUCCACCAAUACAAGGUUUUAGAUCAUGGUACAUCUUAGUAGAGCCUGGGUGAAUGACAUACCUCGAAGUGUGCACCUCAUUAAGGAUUCUUUUCCAUAGCCCAUCGACAUUAAGAACGCACAACCUACCUUGAAAUCUCAGAAUACGAUUGCCACCUAUUUCAAACGACAUAACCUUUUGUUGACCCACAUCUCUCUUGAUUUGCAUCAAGAUGGGAUCUUCAACCUGCUUCUCCUUAACUUCAGCACAAAGAGAUGACUUAGCUAACUCAUGAACUAUUACCCCUCCAUCUUCUGAGAAAGGCUGCCCAUAGACAACCUGCUGAGGGCAUCGACUACAAUAUUUGCCUUGCCCGGAUGGUAAUGCAGACUCAUCUCAUAGUCUUUCAAAAGCUCCAUCCAAUGCCUCUGCCUGAGGUUCAAUUCUUUCUGUGAGAAAACAUACUGUAAACUCUUAUGGUCGGUAUAAAUAUCAAUAUGCACUCCAUAGAGAUAGUGCCUCCAGAUUCUAAGUGCAAACAUCACGGCUUCUAACUUCAAGUCAUGAGUGGGGUAAUUGCAUUCAUGCACCUUUACCUGCCUAGAUGCAUAAGCUAUCACCUUACCAUGCUGCAUUAAUACACAACCAAGUCCCACACAGGACGCAUCAUAAUAAACCAUAAAAUCAUCUACACCUUAGGGAAGGGUCAAAACAAAAACAAUAGUCAUCUUGUCCUUCAAUUUAUCAAAACUGUUUUCACACAAGUCAGACCACACAAACUUCAUCUUUUUCUGAGUCAGUUUGGUAAGCGGAGUAGCUAUGGAAGAAAAACUCUCUACGAACCUUCUGUAAUACCCCGCCAAACCCAAGAAGCUCAGAAUAUCGGUUGAAGCCGUGGGUCUGGGCCAUUUUCUUACUGCUUCAACUUUCUAGGGAUCCACUCUUAUCCUGUCACUGGACACAAUAUUCCCCAGGAAGGCAAUAGCUUCUAACCAGAAUUCACACUUAGAAAAUUUGGCAUACAGUUGAUGAUCCUUAAGGGUCUGAAGAAUAAUUCGAAGGUGAUUGGCGUGAUCCUCUUUACUCUUAGAAUAGAUCAGAAUAUCAUCAAUAAAUACAAUGAAGAACAAGUCGAGAAACUGAUGGAACACUCUAUUCAUAAGAUCCAUGAAGACUGCAGGGGCGUUAGUCAACCCGAAGGACAUGACUAGAAAUUCGUAGUGACCAUAUCGGGUUCAAAAGGCUGUCUUGGGUAUGUCUGACUCCCUAACUGUCAACUGAUGAUAACCCGAACAAAGUUCUAUUUUUGAAAACUACUUGGCACCCUAAAGCUGGUCAAAAAGGUCGUCAAUCCUAGGAAGAGGAUAUUUAUUUUUAAUCAUGACCUUAUUCAACUGACGGUAGUCUAUGCACAUCCGAAGGGACCCAUCCUUAUUUCGCACUAAGAGCACGGGUGCACCCCAUGGGGAAACACUAGGAUGAAUGAAACCUUUGUUUAGGAGGUCUGCAAGCUGUUCCUUUAAGUCCUUUAGUUCUGCGGGAGCCAUUCUAUAUGACGGAAUAGAAAUAGGGCGAGAGUCUGGCAACACAUCAAUGCCAAAAUCCAUCUCCCUAUCAGGGGGUAUCCCUGGGAGAUCUUUGGGAAAGACUUCUGGAAAUUCAUUCACUAUAGGGACUGAUUGCAGAGGAAGGUUUCCAACUUUUAAAUCUUUUACUCGAAUUAGAUAAUACAUACAACCUUUGGAGAUAAGCUUUCAGGCUCUAAAUAAGAGAUAAAAUGACCUCUAGGUUCCACAGAACUCCCUGCCUAUACAAUUAGUGUCUCAUUCGGGAAAGAAAAAGUGACCUUUCGGGUUCUGCAAUCAAGGGUGGCAUAACACGAAUGGAGCCAGUCCAUCCUAAGGAUAGCAUCAAAAUCUAUCAUAUCCAGUUCUAUAGGGUCUGCCAUAGUUUCCCUACUAUGAAUAGACACGACACAAUUUCUAUAUACCCUUUUUGCAACAACAGCAUCACCUACAAGAGUAGAAACACAGAAGGGUUCUACAAUAACUUCGGGCUCAAACCCAAAACCAACCGCCACAUAAGGGGUCACAUAAGAUAAAGUAGACCUGGGAUCAAGCAAUACAUAAACAUCAUGAGAAAAGAUUCGUAACAUACCGGUGAGAACAUCUGGUGAAGUUUCCACCUCCUGGCGGUUAAUCAAAGAAUAUAACCGGUUGCGACCGCUUCCGGCAGCUGAAGGGGCACCCUUAGGAAAAGGAGCUAUGGAGGUGGCUUGGAACUUAGCCCCCCUGUAUUUACUCCAGCAAAAGGACAAUCUCUCUGAAGGUGACCCACUUUACCACAAGUAUAGCAGUUUCUCCCCUAAAACCAGCACUUCCCUAGAUGAUUCCUUUCGCAAAACUUACACCGCAGAUGAGUGUAACGCUGCUGGGCCACACUGCCCUGAGACUGUGUACCUAGAGCUUUGGACCCAUGAGGAGUCUGAAAACUCGGAGUUUGUCUGUCUGUUGGUGGUCUGGUACUGGGGUGUUGGCUACUGACUGUGCAUUAUUCUAAAACUUUGUCUUCUUUAACCACUUAUUACCCCAGUUACCACUCUGCGGCUGACUCUGGUGCUGGUCUGCAGAUCUAGCUCUCUUAGCCUAUCUGUCUUUCUCUCUAGAUUCAGCAAUAUUUUUAUUCUUCUCUUCCACCUAUUGCAUAUGAAUGCUCAGUCGAGCAAAGUCUAACUCCUUAUUUAACAUAGCCCCUUGGCACUCAAGUGCCAGGUUAUCAGCAAGGCCAGAUGCAAAUUUCCUCAUCCGGGCUCUCAUAUUACUAGUCAACUCUGGUGCAUAGCGGGCUAGUUUAUUAAACUUCAAAGUGUACUCCUGGACACUCAUACUGACCUUCUUCAGAUUCAUAAACUCUUCCUUUUUGGUAUCCGUCAACUCCAGAGGAAAGAAUCGAUCAAGGAAAUCUUCCACAAAUUUGCCCCAAACUGUGGGCUCAACACUUUCACCUUUUUCAUCUUCCCAGUCGGCAUACCACUGAUUUGCAACGUCCUUCAGUUGAUAGGUUUCUAGCUCCACCCCUUCAACCUCAUCCACAUGCAUCACCUUAAAGAUCUUUUCCAUCUCAUCCACGAACACCUGUGGAUCUUCCUCCACCUUGGUGCCAGUGAAUUUAGGUGGGUUCAUUUUCAUGAAAUUUUCGACUCUAGUAGCCUCAGACGUAGUAGAUGUAGACCCAACAUCUUUCGAUCGUUGAGCCUGGUUAGCUACCAACUGUGUCAGCAUAUGAAUGGAUCAUCUGAAUUCUACAUUUGAAAUAUCUCCCUGAGCAGUUGGGGGACGGUUGGUAUUAGUCUGCGGAGCCCAAGGUGGAAUGGUCGGGACUGGAGAAACUCCCAGAGUAGGGAUAAAUUUUGGAGUGUGAGCCCUGUUACGAUUACGCAUCCCAUGGGUGGGACAGACCUCAUCUGCCUGAGCAUUCUGAUCGAUGAUACGACAUGGAGGCAUAAUUGUGUUUUUGAAACACAAGUGAUCAUUGAUUAGAGGACAUUUCAGACUCUGAAGCACGAACUAUAUCACAAAGAAGGGAAACAUUUCCUAAACGCCUCGUAGCCCCCUGCUUAUAAGUGUGUCACGCUACACACCCAUAAAUAAGAAUCUACCUGACGCGAUUUUGCAGACACCCUGGGACCAUGAAUCGUGCUCUGAUGCCCGAAACACCCCUAUCUGUCUGCUAAUCAUUCACCUAAUUCAUAUGAUCAAAGUAAUGCGGAAGAAACACAAUAAUUCAGAAACAUGGUCAUAAAUAUGAAACAAAUAAUAACUGGGAGAUAAGGUUCCCUCAACAUCAAUUAACCUCUAAACAACUGUCUGCGAAAAUCUCUAACAAAUGACUGAGUCAAGUAAUCGUAUAUAAACUGGGACAAGGCCCCCAGUAGACCCUAAAACUGAAUAUAAGAUAAAAGGACUGCAGGACAUAAGACCUUCCGAAACAUAGAAGGCUCACCACUUGUCUCUACAGCUCUAUCUGAAAGAUCUACUAAUUCUCUUGACCCCUAGACUGGGCCUCUGAACCUUAGAGGUUGGAGAGGGGAGGGGGUCAGCACAAAAGUACAAAACAUAAUAUUUUUACAAAAUAUAGUUGAGAGCCAUUAUAAAGCAAUUUCGUAUCAAAUCAUUAGAAAGCACAUGGGUGUAAUGUAAUAGUUUUUCUCAACAAUAAUGAAAUGCAACUGAGCUAGGUAGAAUACCCUACAUAAGUUACACCAACUGUCAAACCUCGGUUGCCACCGAGAUUAGAGUAUAAGUGAGGGAGAGACACACAAGAUCACAUAGCAUGGGGUCUCGACCCAAUGGUAGUGCCCAAGAUCACUUGGCCCGAGCUCCUACCUAUAGUCCCAAUUUGGGAAUGACAUGAAGUCAAGUACACAAGAUGACUUAGCCUGGUACCGAUAUUCCAUGUCGGAAAACACGUUUUCCAGCGAUGAGCCCUUGUAUCUCAAACUCCUUCUUCGGGCAUCCACCUUUCUCAUGUAAAAUCAAUGCAUUCAAAUUUCAUCUUAUUCAAUCACAUAUCAUAUUCUGAAGGGUAUCGUCAUACCCGACUUGCAAGUCAUCAAUAUCACAUCCACAUAUGCAUAAUCAUGUAAAAACCAAGGUGCUUCAUCAUUUACAAGUGGUGAACAAUAUUUAUUUCAAAUUCAUGCUCUCUUUUGUUGAUCANNNNNNNNNNNNNNNNNNNNNNNNNNNNNNNNNNNNNNNNNNNNNNNNNNNNNNNNNNNNNNNNNNNNNNNNNNNNNNNNNNNNNNNNNNNNNNNNNNNNNNNNNNNNNNNNNNNNNNNNNNNNNNNNNNNNNNNNNNNNNNNNNNNNNNNNNNNNNNNNNNNNNNNNNNNNNNNNNNNNNNNNNNNNNNNNNNNNNNNNNNNNNNNNNNNNNNNNNNNNNNNNNNNNNNNNNNNNNNNNNNNNNNNNNNNNNNNNNNNNNNNNNNNNNNNNNNNNNNNNNNNNNNNNNNNNNNNNNNNNNNNNNNNNNNNNNNNNNNNNNNNNNNNNNNNNNNNNNNNNNNNNNNNNNNNNNNNNNNNNNNNNNNNNNNNNNNNNNNNNNNNNNNNNNNNNNNNNNNNNNNNNNAUUGGUGAUUCCAAAUAUGUAAUUAUCUUUGAAAACCUACGAUCAAAUCUUGAACUAUUUGGGUUUUUAUUUUGAAACCCUAAGGAGAAUAAUUGAGCACUUUUGAUGAAAGAAUAUGUAUUUUGGGGUCCUUGGAACUAGAUUUCGUGUUUUAGGGAUAAGUAAGGGUGGAAAAGAACCACUUUGUCCUCAACACAGAGUGUUUAAGUCACUAGAUUUCUUUACAUAGGAACCGCCCAUCCCAUUGCCUAUGUUCACAUAGGCGCCGCCUAGGCUAUCGCCUAUGUUUACAUAGGCGCCGCCUAGUCUAUUGCCAAUGCUUUCCAGUGGCUAUGGGCGAUUGGUUAGGCGACGCAUAUCACUUUGAAAGGCCAUAACUUCUUGCUCGGGUGUCCGAUUUUAGCCAAAUUAUUAUCGUUGGAAAGCUAACUCGAAGACCUAUCAUUUGAAAUAUAGUAGGCUUCCUAAUUCGACAUAUACAGAGAGUUAUGGUCGAUGAAAGCUGACACACUUUACAUCGUCCACUAAAACUUAGUCGAUUGAAAUAGUUUCAACUCGUCCUUGAGUUGAAGGACCUCUAUGGUCUAAAUUCAAGCUUGAAUGGAUUCACAUGCUACACAAUAAUUAACAUGCCAUAUUGUCAUAGGAUUUUAUGGCUUCGGGAUUAACAACGCAUCGAAAUUAUGGUCUAUAUUGUAGCCUGAAUUGCGGGGCAUUACAAGCAAUCACCAAAACUAACUUUAGAACGAAAGCCUUCAUUUAAAUAAGAAAAACAAGACUUACUCCCACUCAUGUGAUUACUACAGCCUGUGUCCAGAUCCAAACAUCUUGCACAGGUUUUUCUUCUGUGUCUAUUUCCAUAAACAAGGUCUUGGUUUCGUUGUUUUUAAUAAAAUUUGACUUCUCACCCUUGUCACUAGGCAGCCUAAUGUAGCACUCAGACUGAUAAUGACCAAAUUUAUGACAUCGAUAGCAUUCGACUUUUGAUUUAUCAAAAUUCUUUCCCCUGCCUUUGCCAUCAUUAUUGGAUCUAAAAUUUCUGCCGCCAUCUCUAUUUCCUCUAGCUUCUCUCCCUCUUUCUCUACCUCUACCUCUACCCCUUCUUCUAGAAUUUGAAGGAACAAAAGUAGAAGCCUUCAAGGCUUGCUCCUCAGAAGUUGAACUACGGCUCAUCUUCUAUUCAUGCACUAAUAGGGAGCUUUGUAACUCAUCCACUGAUAACUCAUCUAUAUCUUUUGAUUCCUCAAUGGAGCAAACUACAUAAUCAUACUUCGAUGUCAAAGAGCGCAAUAUUUUCUCAACAAUUGUGACAUCAGUUAUUUUCUCACCAUGGAAUCGCAUUUUGUUACUAAUCUCCAUUGUUCUAGUGCAAUAACUUAUUACGGAUUCUCCUUCCUUCAUCUGCAGAGUCUCGAAAUCCCUUCUCAAGUCUUGAAGCUGUGCACGCUUCACUCUAACAGUGCCUUGAUAUUUCUUUUUAAUGGAGUCCCAAAUAUCCUUAGAAGUUUCUUAGCAAAGAAUAGUUUCUAGGAUGGGACGAUCGAUUAUAUAAGAAACUUUUGCCUCUCAUAUCAACUUGUAAAAUCUCAAGUUCCCUUUUGACAUUUGAAAUUAUUUUUGUACCCGAAAUUGUUUUGAUUGCAACAUUCCUUUUUCCUUCUGCAGGAAUAUAGUCACCAUUCCCAAUUCAGAUUUUCUUAUUUUUCAAAGGUAUAGUAAAUAAACGUAUCCUUUAACUUAGCCUCAUCUGGCAUUUAUGUUAUCCUACUUCGUGUGAGCACGAGUAAUAACUUAAAUUUAUAUAAAGUUGAACAAGUACACACAUCCUAUAUGUCAUCUAUGUGGAAAUCCUAUAUAUGGCAAAAUUUGCCCAAACCCAAAUGACCCGCCCAACCCACCCAAGGUUUCAUGGGUUAGAGAAAGAGUGAUUUUGAUAAUGGGUUAAUUUGGGCUAGCCCAAGUCAACCCAUUACAAAUCACUAACCCAAAUAGACCCAUGAUGAUGCCCAAACUUGAUCCAUCAAAUUACUUAAAGCUUUUACAAAAUCCUAUUUUAUUAAUGGGGGGCAUACAAAAAUAGUCUAGGUUUCAACUAAAUGAGAGUGUUUCUAGCCGAACUUUCAAAAUUACAAUUUAUAGCAUUUCUUUCUUCUUUUUUUUUUUUAUUUUUUUACUUUGUUUUAUCUCUAGCAUCUACUUCUCUUUCUUUUCCAUUUUUUUUACUUUUUUUUUGUUUUUUUCCUUUUUAAUUUUCUCUUUUUUGUUUUUUUCUCUUUCUCAUUUUUUUUUUGUUUUUGUUGUAUUUUAGGUAGGUAGGCAGCCAGUUAGGCAGGUAGGUAGAUAGAUAGAUUUGUAUUUUUGAAAAAUAAGGUUUCGUCGAGUACGUACAAGUCAUGGAAGAUGACAGAUACAUCAUAACCGGUCAUUUAUUUAUAUUCAACAUCAUUUUUUUUCUUUUAUCUCUUUUUUAUUUUUUUUUACUUUUUAAUUUUCUCUUUUUUUCUCCUUUCUUCUAUUUUUCAUUUUUUUCUUUUUUUUUUGGUAUUUUCUUCUUAUUUUUGUUUUUCUCCUUUUUUCUCCUUUUAUUUUUUCAUUUCUUUUUUUAUUUUAUUUUAUUUUCUUUAUUCUAUUUAUAGCUUAUAUUUCUCUUUCUUUUUUGAAUUUUUUAUUCCUCUUUUAAAAAAUAUGGCUAUGCGGAGUACAAGUUAUGAUUGAUAACGAAAAAUACCACAAUGACUUAUUGUAGUUAUAUUUGCACUAUCAUUUAUAUUUUCGUAUUUAUUGAUACAAUUGCAUUUGUAUUUUAUGACUCACGCUUGUAUUUGUAUUUAUAUUUUAUAGUUGAUACUUGUAUUUGUAUUUUAUAAUUCUACUUGUAUUUGUAUUUUAUAAUUCACAUCAUCAUUGAUAUUUUUGUAUUCGUUGAUACAAUUGUACUUGUAUUUUAUAGUUCACGCUUGUGUUUAUAUUUAUAUUUUAUAGUUUGCACAUGUAUUUGUAUUUUAUAGUUCUCACCAUUAUUUAUGUUUUAUACGAUUUAUCUUUAUUGAUACGAAUUGCAUUUUAUUAAUACAAACUGAAUACAAAUAUAAAUGAUAAAUUAUAAAAAUAAAAUGUUAAACUGUACAAAUACAACGUUUACAUUUGUAUCAAAUGAUACAUGUUUAUACAAUUUGAACCAUACAUAUAAAAAUGACACUUGUUUUUAUAGAAAUGCAAAUGAUAAACUUAACAUACAAAUACUAACGAUACAUUUACAUUGAAUGACAUAUUGCAUAUUAAAUAUUUUAGACUCAAAUAAAUAUAAUUAUUCCUUAUAACUAUUUGUAUACAAAUAUAAAUGAUAAAUUAUAUUCAUGGCUAAAAUAUUCAAAUAUAAAUAAUAAAUUUAUUUGAAAUACAUAUGAUACAAAUAAAUAAAAAAUUUAAAAAUACAUAAAAUAUAAAAUACGAAAAAAAGGAGGAAAAACGAAAAAGAGAAAAAAGAAAAUAAAAAAAGGUUUCAAAGAAAAAAGUAAUAAAAUCAAAAAAUAGAUUAAAACAAAAAAAAUAGAAAAUAGAAAAAAUAAAAAGGCAAAAUGGAAUAAAAAAUGAAAAAUAAAAAAAAGGGGAAGGUAAAAAAGAUAGAAAAAAGGAAAAAACUUGGUGCUGUUUAUAAUUUGAUUAAAUUUGCAUUUGGGUGGGUUGGGUUGUACUCAUUACCCAUAGUUUAGCCUAUCUUGACCCAAGUGCAUUUGGGCAUGAUUGGGCAUUAGCCCAAUUAUUUGUUCAACCCAUCUUGACCCGCCCAACUUCAACCCAACCCGCCCAUUUUCACCCCUACUCCUCUCCAUUUGCUUGCUGCCUCUAGUAACUAUGUGCCUGAAUUAAUAAACCAUCCUAGAGCAAAGAGGAUGUCAUUUAACAAACAAAAUCAGACUGCACUUGAUAUAGCAUUGUCAUGCACAAUGACAACAAAGAAGAUAAGCGAUCGUACAUUUAUUUUUCAAAUAUUGGUUGCACUUGAGUAUAUGCUGGUGAAAUAUUGAAAUACUAGUUCAAUGAUUAUAUCAAGAGAAAAGAAUGAUUUGCAUGCACUCACAAAUCUUAAGUUUUUUAUCCGUUCUUGAUGUAGUGUUGAAACAUCAAGUAAAACUGUAAUUCUAUUUCUUGAUCUACCUUCGCCAAAAUUUAUUUUUACAUGAUAUCAGUAUCUCCUAAGCUAUGAACAGAUUAGUUCUCAGUUAAACAAGUUACUGUGUUAAUAUUUUUGACUGACUCAAUAAAAACUGUACUAUUGAUGAAAAUAGGAGAAAUUGGUCAAGGAUUUGUGUAGCAUUGACAGUUUUGAAAAACGUGACUUUGAGGUAAAGCGGAAGUACGAGUACAUGCACAAUCCAAAUGGUAAAACGGGAACAGGAGUCAAAAUGCGACUGAGGAAAGUUGAUCACGAUAAAGCUAAAAAGGCAUAUCAAACAGAAGUCGAAAGUAUUAUGAAGGCAGCUCAAAUCCAUAUUGUUGUGGCCACUUUGAUAAUGACAGUCACUUUUGUCACUGGUAUCACAUUGCCAGGAGGUUUUGAGAGCGACUCUGAUAACCCUACUCAAGGGAUGGCGAUUCUAAUAAGGAAUACAACAUUUCAUGCAUUUGUUGUUUCCGAUGUAAUUGCCUUCACAUUCUCAGUUGUUUCCAUAUUCGUCUACUUUCUCAUGGAAGAUACAAGUAGAGAUCCUCAAAGUAAAAAAAUUGUAAAGAAGAUUUAUGAUCUCGCAGGUAUUUUUUAGUGCUUGGCAGUUGUAAUUGCAUUUGCAACGGGUAUAUUUGCUACCUUAUCACAUUCUCUUGGUCUUUCCAUUACUAUCUGUUCCAUAGGUUACCUCUCUAUUUUAUUGUACUUCUUGAUUGCUAUCUAUAUUUGUAGAUAUAUAAAGAAUAUAAGCGAGUAGCAUUGUCGGUGACGAAAAUUCUGCUACUCGCUUAUAUGUUCAUUUAUCUUGUUUUGACAGCAUAACAAUGCCAGAGUGAUCUUAAGGACUUCUGCCACGAAAUGGGAGUUGCCAUAAAGGGAUGCGACAUGGAGGACCGUGUUGCCCUUUGGAGUGAGUACGUAGCCGUUUUCUUCAUCCCUUUUCAAAUGAUCAGAAAGCAGAAAAUUGCCAUCUCCGAUAUUGCCUCUCAUCGCAGCAUUACAGUAUGUUGUGUUUAGUGCAGCUACGGUAAAAGGCCUUUUUUGCCCAAUAUCGGGGAUGGGAAUUUUUUGCUUGUUGAUAAUUUGAAAAGGGAUGAAGAAAAUGGCUACCAAGUCACUCUAAAGGGUAACACGGUCCUCCAUGUCGCAUCCCUCCAUGGCAACUCCCAUUUCGUGUCAGAAGUCCUUAAGAUCACUCCAGCAUUAUUAUGCUUUCAAAACAAGAAAAAUGAAACCGUUCUUCAUAUAAGCGAGUAGCAGAAUUUUCGUCACCGACAAUGCUACUCGCUUAUAUUCUUCAUAUAUCUACAAAUAUAGAUAACAACCAAGAAGUACAAUAAAAUAGAGAGGCAACCUAUGGAACAGAUAGUAACGGCAAGACCAAUGAAAUGUGAUAAGGUAGCAAACAUACUCGUUGCAAAUGCAAUUACAACUACUAACAUUGACAAGCACUGAAAAAUACAUGCGAGAUCAUAAGGCUUCUUUACAAUUUUCUUACUUUGAGGAUCUCUACUUGUAUUUGUCAUAAGGAAGUAGAUAAAUAUGAAAACUGCUGAGAAUGUGAAGGCAAUGGCAUCAGAAACAAUAAAUGCACGAAAUGUUGUUUUCCUUAUUAGAAUUGUCAUCCCUUGAUUAGGGCAAUCAGAGCCGCUCUCAAAACCUCCUGGCAAUGUGAUACCAGCGGCAAAAGUGUCUGUCGUUAUCAAAGUGGCCACAAUAAUAUGGAUUUGACCUGCCUUUAUAAUACUUUCGACUUCUGUUUCAUCUGCCUUUUUAGCUUUAUCAUGAUCAACUUCCCUCAGUUGCAUUUUGACUCCUGUUCCCGUUUCAGCAUUUGGAUUGUGCAUGUACUCGUACUUCCGCUUUACCUCAAAGUCACGUUUUUUAAAACGGCUGAUGCUACACAAAUCCUCCACCAAUUUCUCCUAUUUUCAUUGAUAAUACAGUUUUUAUUGAGUCAGUCCAAAAUUUUGACACAGUAACUUGUGUAACUGAGAACUAAUCUGUUCAUAGCUUAAGAGAUAAUGAUAUCAUGUAAAAAUAAAUUCAUGCGAAGGUAGAGCAAGAAAUAGAAUUACAGUUUUACUCUAUGUUUCAACACCACAUCAAGAACGAACAAAGAACUUAAGAUUUGUGAGUGGAUGCAAAUCAUUCUUUCGCUUGACAUAAUCCUUGAACUAGUAUUUCAAUAUUUCACCAGCAUAUACUUAAGUGAAACCAGUAUUUGAAAAAAAAAUGUGCGAUCGCUUACCUUCUUUGUUGUCAUUGUUCAUGACAAUACUAUAUCAAGUGGAGUCUAGUUUUGUUUGUUAAAUGACAUCUUCUUUGUUCUAGGGUGAUUUAUUAAUUCAGGCACAUAGUUACCAGAGGCAGCAAGCAAAUGGAGAGGAGUAGGGGUGAUAAAUGGGUGGGUUGGGUUGAAGUUGGGCGGGUCAAGAUAGGCUGAACAAAUAAUUGGGCUAAUGCCCAAUCCUGUCCAAAUGCAUUUGGGUCAAGAUGGGCUAAACUAAGGGUAAUUGGUUACAACCCACCCAACCAACCCAAAUGCAAGUUUAAUCAAAUUAAAAACGUCAUCAAGUUUUUUUCCUUUUUUCUAUCUUUUUUACCUUUUCCCUUUUUUUCGUUUUUUAUUCCAUUUUUUCCCUUUUUUUGUUUCUUUUUUCCUUUUUAUUUUUUUCUAUUUUUUCUGGUUUUUUUCUUUCUCUUUUUUUCUUUUUUCAUUUUUAAUCUAUUUUUUGUUUUUAUUACUUUUAUCUUUGAAACCUUUUUUUCUCUUUUUCGCUUUUUUUUUCAUUUUUUGGCAAUUCCUUUUUCUUUUCUCUCAUUUUUUUUAUUGUUGUUGUCGUAUUUUAUAUUUUAUGUAUUUUCUAAAUUUUUUAUUUAUUUGUAUCAUAUAUAUUUCUAAUAAAUUUAUUAUUUAUAUUUGAAUACUUUAGCCGUGAAUAUAAUUUAUCAUUUAUAUUUGUAUACAAAUAGCUAUAAGGAAUAAUUAUAUUUACUUGAGUCUAAAAUAUUUAAUAUGCAAUGAGUCAUUCAAUGCAAAUGUAUCGUUAGUAUUUGUAUGUCAAGUUUAUCAUUUGCAUUUCUAUAAAAACACGUGUCAUUUUUAUGUGUAUGGUUCAAAUUGUAUAAACAUGUAUCAUUUGAUACAAAUGUAAACAUUGUAUUUGUAUAGUUUAACAUUUUAUUUUUAUUAAUUUAUCAUUUAUAUUUGUAUUGUUAAUUUUGUAUUAAUAUAGGAAUAUAUUUGACUCUCCUUACAAAGAUUACGGGUUAUACUUAAUUCAUUUUCUCACAAAUUUUAGGAGUAAUUUCUCACAAAUGAAUAUUUUUUAACUUCGUUGAUUCAACAACUACUUUAGAUUUUUAAAAUCACCUUACAUAUCAAUUUGCUUAGCAUUAUUUAAGUUUUUUUGUUCUUAUUUCAUUUUUUCCAUUUCCUUAUUUAGUGCAAAAAUAUAUGAAAUAUUUUUUAAAAAUAAAAUAGAAUCAUGAAUGAAUUAUAGGAAAAAAGGAAAAAAAAUUAGACAAACUUUUGUUUACAUUUAAAAUAAAUAACCUUACAUAGUUUUCUUUUUCUAUAUUCCCUCAAUUCUUUUCCAACUUAAAUUCAUAUUUCUUUUAUAAUUUUUUUCGUUAAAACAAGUGAUGGCAAAUCAAUUAGAUGAUUGAUCAGGAAUCAAUUUUCACACACAAUUUUUUAUUUACCAAAAAUAGCCAUAGAAAAUAUAGUAGACUUAGUUUAAUUUCGGGGAAAAAAAUAGAAUUCGUUCUGUUAUAACAAGGAAAGAAAUAAAACAUCAUUCACGUUCUAAAUUCCUAUAAUUUAGGCCUACAACUUUAAUCCUAAAUUUAGAAUUUUUUCAUAUAUUAAUUAUUUUAUAUAUGAUAAAAUUUUAAUUGAUUUAGAAGUGUUACUUUAAUUUUUCAUAAGAAAAUAACUGAAAAACUAAUUUUGCCUAUUGCGAAAACUUUUAAUGAAGGUAUUUCAAACAAUAUUUCUAAGGUCUUUCACAUUUUAAUAUACUAUCGACUAUAGAUAUAGAUAAAUACAGUAGCAUUUUAGAUAAUAUUAUUUACUUUGUCCAUCAUUUCUUGUAAAUUUUACGACAAUUAUCCUUUGCAUGACAUAAUGUUAUUUCAAUUUCAAUAUUUUUUAGGUUUACGGGUACUUUUUGGUUAUAAAACCUUACGAGUUAGAAUGUAACUUUCCUUAAUGGAUAGAAAACUUACUUGACUGAUCAGGAACUAGACAAAUCGCAGGUUGAUAUAAUUGUAGCUCCUUCCAAAGUAAAGUGAAGUCCCAACACUCCUCAUAACACCGACAUCUUGUACAAGAGAUUCCAACAACGAAUGGUUGCUUCGUAACUGCUUCUUCUGCAAAAUGGAACUACUUUGUGAUAUAUGUUGUAAAUUUAAAGAAGAUUAUCUCUAAUGGUAAUAAAGGUUUUAUCAAAAUAAGACAACUAAAUACAACAAGAAAAGAACAUAUCAAUUAAAUAUUUGAGAAAAAAUAUUAAGUGACACACAAUAAACAAUGAUAUAAUUGAGAUACAAUAUUUAUUUGUAUCAUAUAAAAUACAUAUAGCAAUUAUUUUAAUGUCGACUUGCUACUUUCUAACGGGUAACGCACAUAUGCUAAACUAUUAUAUAUAUAUAUAUAGAGAGAGAGAGAGAGAGAGAAAUGUACUAGUAAAAAUAGCAAGUAAAAGGAAAUUGGCAGUGUAUAUAUAAUUGUCGGAGAAGAUAUCGUGUGAGGACGGCAAAUAGAAAAGGCACGGUGGUGAAAGGUGGCUGACGGUGGAGUUUAGAUAAGAAACAUUUUCCAUAGUGGGGUGACAAACCAAGUUCUCUAUAUGCUUUAGAUCUCAUGAAGUGUUUGUUUAUUUACCAAACCUACAACAAGCUACGGAAUAUUUCUAUGCUUCAUUCUAUUCUAUUCUGAUUUGUUCCUUCAAAACUUCCCAGAACACGAAUCUUCCUAGUCUAAAAGCUCCCGGGUAUAGGUCAUGUUACAGGAUACAGAGAGAUAAGGAAUACGACGUAAAUGAAGAUAUGUGGAAAGAUUGUAUAACUGCAAAUGAUAUAGUAACAAAUUUAGCACAUACAUUUGUAAAUGAUAUAGUAACAAAUUUAGCACAUGCAUUUGUACUGUGGAAGCUCACUAACACAAUGCUCCAUGUAAGAAAGCAGAGAUUAGCCACUUCUAUAGUGUUCUGACUAACAAACCUUUCAGAGUUGCAAUUCUUCUUUCAUUAUUAGUAUUUUUUAAAGAAAUUUAAAGUUGGGCUUCAUGCCCUUUUAUUGAAAGAAAAAAGGGUUUAUAAAAAUGACAUUAUAGAUAUUUUUCAUAGUUUAUAGAACUUAGGAACCGUUUGCCUAUGGAUUAUAUUCACUUUAUUUCAAAAAAUCAUCUCUCUUUAUUUAAAAAUCUUUGUUGACGAUAAAAAUACCAAACACAACUUUUAAAAAAUCCUAACUUUUUAUUUUCAUAAAAAUAACCCAAUAUAAAUUAUAUUUCAUUUUAAAUUUUAAAUUUUAAAAUUUUAUUACAAAAACUAUGACUAAACGCAAUUCUAACUCCAAACUGAAAUUUCAAAUAAAAUUUUUUUUUUCAUUAAUAAUAAUAAUAAUAAUAAUAAUAAUAAUAAUAAUAAAGAAGGAUCUUCAACUCGAUGACGCGACGCUCUAAUAUUUGAUUAUUGAUAUUUAUCUUUUAUCUCAAAUUUUUGACAUUUAUUCUUCAUUUUAAUUCAUUUGCUCAAUUAAAAAAUUAAAUAAAAAAAAAAACUUGUUGUUUUCAGUUACAAAAAAACUCAUCAAAAGCUUUUUUCAAAACUCAAUUGUCCCCUACUUUAAUUUUUUCGUUCAAUUACUAUUGUUACUGCUAUUACAUAUGGAAAGGUGCUACUUUAAUGCCCAUUAUUUAGGUCAUUAAGACUCACAAACUUUUUAGUUAUUCCUACUACUUUAUGCCCAUUAUUUAGCUCAUUAAAACUCUCAAACAAAAUUGAAAAGAGUAACUUUGAAGGACUGUUCCACAUUUGGAAUCAAAACCGAAAUUGAAUUUAAAAUUUUGCCAACCAAAACACUAAUGUUUUAAGUGAAAAAUUAAUUAGGCGGAAAAAGGUAAAUAAUUUAUUUCUAAAAUAAAUUGUCAUAUUCUUUCUUAAAUGAAUAAAAUUAGAAGGGAAAGUGUACAAAAAUUAAGACAAAGAAAGCAAUAUUUGGAAUUCUUAUCUACAUUUUCUAAGACUCAUCCAUUAGUAAUAAAAGUUUAGAAUAUUAAAAAGGUUAAGUUCUAUAUAUCAAUCUUACACAAAUACAUUUUGGAAAAAUUAAAUACAUAUCCUUUAUAAUAUGAAAUCAAGUUAAAUAGUAAAUUCACCAUCAAUUUUAUUUUAUAUCUUUAGUAUAACUUUGAUUUGUAAUAAUAGGCUAUCAAACAUUUUUCAAAAAUUAGCAAUCAAUACUUAUUGUCGAACUUUACUUGGAGUUAUCUUAUAAAUUGACAUGAUUUACUCACAAACUUUUUGAUUAUUCGUAGUACUUUAAUGCCCAUUAUUUAGCUCAUUAAGACUCACAAAUUUUUCAAUUAUUCAUACUACUUUGAUGCCCAUUAGUUAGCUCGUUUAGACUCACAAACUUUUCAAUUAUUCGUACUACUUUAAUGGCUAUUAUUUAGCUCAUUAAAACUCGCAAACUUUUCAAUUUUUUCAUUUAAACAUAAGGCUUUUAUUUUAUAUAACAAUAAAUUGAGAGGUCACAUCGUAGUUUUUAGGACAAGUUUAAAAAUAUUGUAAUAAAAUCUUUAUAAUUAGUUGAAUUUGAAAAUAUAAUAAAAUCUUUAUUAUAUAUUUGAAUUUGAAAAUAAUAAUACUUUAAAAUAAAAAAAAAAGAUUUUUAUUAUCUUAAACCUAGCAACCAUAGUUGAAGAAUCCUAAAUAAACUCUAUAUUUGAAUGUUAUUUGAUAUUGUUCCUUGAGUUACAUGUUGUUGUUUCCUAGUUGAAAAGAAAAACAAAAAAAUACAUGACCAAAAAAAUAAAAUAAAAGUCAGGUUGAAGAAUAAGCUUGAAAAUGGGUUUUGUUGAUUUUGUGUUUGGUUGAAGAAAUUGUUGCUUAGAAGUUGUUGGUAAAGUUGUGGGGAAGUUAUAUCUCAAAUUUGAGCUCAUUUGUUUGGGUAUUGAAGAGGAUGAAUUUGAGAAUUAUAAAAUAGUUCAAAUCUUUCAAACUUGUUUCUUCUUUUCUUGUUAAUUCUAGCUAGUUUGCUUUGAGUAUUAAUUCAUACUUAAUAUUAAACUAGUUUGUGUCCAUUUAAUUUACUCGUGUCAAUUUUUUUUCGUGUUUUUUUUCUUUCAUUUCAUUGUAUGUUUAUUUGUUUCCUUGUCCGUUAGUUUUAAUUGUCCGUUCUAGAUUACAUAAACUCCACUCCAUCCCGAAGAAGUGGUAUGUUGACUCUCAAUCUUGGGUUAUUCAAGAGUGGUAACAAGCAAGAGUGAGGUACAAUGACUCAAUUGGAGGGAGAAUCCGCUCGCGAAAUGGAAUUUUUUCUUCAAAAUUUAUUGGAAGAAAUGAAGGAAAUGAAGGAAAAAUUAGAAGAUGUGGAUAGAAGGGUGAGAAAUCAAAAAAUAGCAAAGCAACCACUUAAGGUUUUCAAUCCCAUUGGUCAACAUGAUGAGGGAUCAAGUAAGACUCCUCUUGAUACAACUCCUUCCCACAUAGUAGUGCAAGAUACCCUCUCUCCUAAUGCUUUUGCAAACAAGCAACCCUUUUAAAGGGAGGGGGGGGGGGGGAAUCAACAAAGAAAUCUUCCACCACAAGGCAAUAGAACUCAAAGAAGAGCCCAACAUAACCUUGAAGAGCAUGAUUCUUUUGAUGGUGAUAAUUAUGAUUAUGGAGCCAAUGAUCAAGUUCAACAAGAGAGAUUAGGUGGGAGAUAAAGAAGGGGGAUAGUAGAGGGUGGUAUCCGGUUGAUGGUAGAGAAUACAAUAGAAGUAAUGAUGAUGAAGAUUGAGGAUUCAACAACAUCACGGUUACCCUUCCAUUCUCCAAAGAAGUAGAGACCCUAAUGAAUAUUUUGAUUGGAUUGUGAAACUUGAAAGGCAAUAUAAUCUCAACAAUGUGAGUGAUGUUAAAAAGGUGAAUUAUGCUAUAAGUCACCUUGAGGGUGUUGCUUCUACAUAGUGAGAGAAAAUUUAAAGAGAUGCUUUGGUGAAUAGACUUUGUUACAAGUUGGAAUGAUAUGAAAAAACGUAUAAGAGAAAGGUUUGUGGGUCAAGAUUAUGAUCAAAAUACACUCAAGAAGUAUUACAAUCUUCAACAAGGAAGUAAGAGUGUGGAAGAGUAUUAUGAGGAGCUGGAGCAUACUAGGCUUCGAGCCAAUGUCAAUGAUGAAGAUGUGAAGCUUAUGGCAAGAUUUAUCUCGGGCUUAAAUAAAGAGGUAAGGCAACCAUUGGAAUUGCAUCGUAUUUCUACUUUACAUGAAGUUAUCAAAUGGCACUCAAGGUGGGGGGUCAUCAAAAGGAAAACAAGUUAAAGGUGCAAUUUUAUUCUUCUUCUUCAUGGGCUAAAAACAAGGAAGCUUGGAAAUCAUCUCUCACUUGGGACAAAUCCAAAGGUGCAAAGCAAGAAUUGAAGUCCAACUUGGACAAAGGCAAAUCAAAGGUCAACUACAAGGAUGGAGGUAACAAAGCUAAACUUGAAACUCCAUCUAAAAUAAAGUGUUUUAAAUAUCAAGAAUAUGGUCAUAAAGCAAAUGAGUGUCCUAAUAGAAGAACUAUCAUUGCAUUGAAUAAUGGUGGUUAUCAAACCGAAGAUGAAUUUAAAGAUGACCACAUGGUGGAUGAUAGUAGUGAUGAGUUUAUAGGAGAAGGGGAUGGAGAAGAAAUUAACGAUGAUGGAAAACUUGUUCUUGUUGUGAGGGAAAGUAUGAGUGCUCUAGCGAGGAAAGAUCUUAAUCAAAGAGAGAACUUGUUUAAUAAUAGGUGUAGAGUGCAAGAGCAAUUAUGUUUCUUUAUAAUUAUAGUGGAAGUUGUGCCAAUGUUGCUAUUAUAUCUAUGGUAGAACAAUUGAAACCUCCAACAAGAAGGCAUCCAAAAUCUUAUAGAUUGCAAUGUCUCAAUGAAUGUGGUGAACUCAAGGUAACCAAGAGAGUGUUGAUAAAAUUCAAGGUCGUAAGUUAUCAUGAUGAAGUGCUUUGUGAUGUUGUACCUAUUCAAGCUUGUCAUUUAUUGUUGGGAAGGCCAUGGAAAUAUGAUGUGGGGGCUAAACAUGAUGGAAGGUCAAAUAAAUAUGCAUUUUUUAAGGAUGGUAAAAAGCACAUUCUUAACCCACUUUCUCCUUUUCAGGUUGAGUAAUAAAUAUAGGAAAAUGGAAGAGUUGAAAGAAAAAAUUGAGAGAGAAAAGAAAGAGAGGAGUAAGGGAGUGAAAAAUGAUAACUCAAGAGAGGAAAAAGGAGAGUUUGAGAUCUCAAGUGAGAAUUAGUUAUCACAAAAAAAAAAGAGGUGAGCAAGAAAAAUAAAAAAAUAAAAAAAUAGAGAAAAUGUGCAUGAUUUUGCAAAAAUCAAGAGGCAAGAAAGAGCUAAACAUUGAGGAUGCUACUCAAGUCAGGUUUAUUAAACCUAAAGGUUAUUCUUUGCUUUCUAACAAUGAACUAACCUCUUUAUAUUUGCCAAGUGUUGUUUAUUCUUUGUUGCAAAAUUAUGAAGAUCUAUUUUUGGAAGAAAUACCAAGUGGGUUGCCUCCUUUGAGAGGAAUAGAGCACGAAAUUGACUUUUUCUCGGGUUCUCAAAUACCCAACAAAGCGGCUUAUAGGAGCAAUCCUCAAGAUACUAAAGAAUUGAGAAGACAAGUGGAAGAACUUGUGAAUAAAGGUUUUGGUGAGAGAAAGUUUAAGUCCAUGUGUGGUGCCCGUAAUUCUAGUACUCAAGAAAAAUAAAAUAUAGAGGAUGUGUGUAGAUUGUCGUCCCAUUAAUAAAAUUAUGAUAAAAUAUCGACAUCUCAUCCCUAGACUUGAUGAUAUUCUAGAUGAAUUAUGUGGUUCUAACUUAUUCUCUAAAAUUAAUUUAAGAAGCAGAUACCAUCAAAUCCGAAUGAAAUUCGAAAAUGAAUGGAAAACCGCUUUCAAAACUAAGUUUGGAUUACAUGAAUGGAUGGUGCUGCCUUUUGGGCUAACAAAUGUACCAAGCACUUUUAUGCGACUAAUGAACCAUGUGCUUAAGUCAUUUAUUAAUAAUUUUAUUGUGGUUUAUUUAGAUGAUAUUUUGGUUUAUAGCAAGUGUUUGGAUGAUCACGUGCAGCAUUUGAGAAUGAUAUUUGAUGUGUUGAGAAAUGAAAAGUUGUAUGUAAAUUUUAAAAAGUGUUCUUUUUAUGUGGACUGUGUUGUUUUCCUUGUCUUUGUUGUAAGUUCAAAAGGAGCUGAGGUGGAUGAUGAAUAGGUAAAAGCUAUUAGAAGUUGUCCAACUCCUACAUCCAUUAGUGAUGUUAGAAGCUUCCAUGGGUUGGCAAGUUUUUAUAGGAGAUUUGUGAAGGGUUUUAGUUCUUUAGCCGCUCCUCUAACCGAGGUCAUUAAGAAGGAUAAGCUUUUUAUUUUGGGGUAGAAAACAAGAGGAAGCCUUUAGAAUCUUGAAAGAGAAACUUAGUUCCACUCCAUUACUUCAACUUUCCAACUUUGACAAGAUGUUUGAAAUUGAGUGUGAUGUUAGUGGAGUAGGCAUUGGUAUAGUAUUGAUGCAAGAAGGGAAACACAUAGCUUACUUUAGUGAGAAAUUAAAAGGAGCUCCAUUGCAAUAUUCUACCUAUGACAAGGAACUCUAUGCCUUAGUGAGAGCUUUAGAAAAUUGGCAACAUUAUUUGUGGCAUAAGGAGUUUGUGAUUAGAAUCAAUCAUGAGGCUUUGAAGCAUAUUAGGGUCCAAAAUAAUCUUAAUAAGAGGCAUGCCAAGUGGAUAGAGUUCAUUGAGUCUUUUCAAUAUGUAAUUAAUUAUAAGCAAGGUAAAGAGAAUAUUGUGGCGGAUGUUUAUCUAGAAUAUAUGCAUUGAUGAAUACCUUGACGUCUACAUUGAUGGGUUUCGAGAGUUUGAAGGAGUUAUAUUCUAAUGAUGAUGAUUUUGGAAAAGUCUUUAGAGAGUGUCAAGUAAGCUUGAAUAGGUGUGUGCAAGUUGUUAAGGAGGGAAAUGAAGUUAGAACUCCUAGAUUUGAAUUAAAGAAGGGCCACUUGUUUAGAAAUGGAAAACUUUGUGUGCCUAUGUCUUCAUGGAGAGAGUUGUUGGUGAAAGAGGCACACAAUGAAGGUUUGAUGGGUUAUUUUGGGGUGUCAAAAACCUUAGCUAUUCUUAGUGAACAUUUCUUUUGGCCUAAAUGAUAAGAUAUGUGGAAAGAAUUUGUGCUAGGUGUUUGGAUUGUAAGCAUGCUAAAUCUUAUACCCAACCCCAUGGCUUGUACACCCCUUUGCCUAUUUCUAUUGGACCUUGUCUAGAUAUUUCCAUGAAUUUUGUUGUUGGGCUCCCUAGGACUAGGAAUGGUAAGGAUAGAAUCUUUGUUGUUGUGGAUAGAUUUUCAAAAAUGGCUCACUUUAUUGCUUGUCAUAAAAGUGAUGAUGCAUCACAUGUUGCUACUUUAUUUGUUCAUAAUAUGAUAAAAUUGCAUGGUAUUCCCCAAACAAUUGUUAGUGAUUGAGAUUCAAAAUUUCUUAUCCAUUUUUGGAGGUAUUUGUGGGGAAAUUUGGGAACCAAAUUGCUAUUUUCUACUUCUUGUUAUGCUCAAACGGAUGGUCAAACGAGGUGGUUAAUAGAACUUUAGGUAACAUGCUUAGAGCUAUGGUUAAAGGAAAGUUAACUUGUUGGGAGGAUCAAUUGCCAUUAAUUAAGUUUGCCUAUAGUAUAACUAUUCAUAGAUCUAUUUGGUAUAACCCCUUUUGAGUAUGUGUAUGACUUUAAUUCUUUGACUCCAUUAGAUUUAAAACCUUUACCCAAAGAUGUUAUUGUGAGUGUAGAUGCAAAAUCUAAGGAAAAAUCUAUGAAGAACAUCCAUGAGAAAGUAAGAUUACAAAUUGAGAAGGCUAGCAAUGAUGCAACCAAAAGAGCCAUCAAAGGACGAAAAAAAGUCACCUUUGUACCCGGUGAUUGGGUAUGGGUUCACUUUAGAAAGGAGAGAUUUUCAAGUAAAAGGAAGAACAAGCUUAUGCCAAGAGGAGAUGGAACUUUUCAAGUGAUUGAUAAGAUUGGAGAUAAUGCUUACAAAGUGGACUUACCAAGUGAGUAUUUGAUUCAUAAUGUUUUCAAUGUUAGUGAUUUAUGAUCUCUUUUUGAUGUAGGAUUGGCGAAUUCGAGGACGAAUUCUUUCGAAGAAGAGGAGAGUGAUGUACAUUAAAGUGACGCUACUUUAAGAAGGUUUUGAUACAAGAAAGACAAGGAACAUACGAAAACAUAAUCCAAAAGUAGUCCACUAGUUCAAGAGCCGAGGACCCUUUUGAAGACCACUCUCGGAUUCGACAAAUACAACAAGAAUACAAGAAACAAGGGCGUAUUUGACAACAAAUCAUCAACCACAAACUAAAAAAGAUAUUAACAAGAUAACAAUAUGAAGAACAUAAUGAGAAAUAACACAAUGGAAACAACAAACAUGUUUUUGACUAGAACAACAACAAAGAGUAUAAGAAAUGUAAAGAUAGGUUGUGAGACAUAUAUUAUUACAAGACCUAAGAACUAGGGUGUGUAUUAAACACCUAAACCCUUAGAAACAAAUAAUAAGAACACCUACACUCUUCGUGGAUACAAGAGGGACCUCAAUCCUUCAAGCACCCAAUGUUCCAAGCCAUGAAUCCAACACGAGUAAUUCUACACUCAAGUUGAAACCUAGUUUCGAUUUUGCCUCAAAGGAGAGAGGACUUGGUGUUUCAAAAGUCAUACAAUACUUACUAAUAUCAUGAAUAAUAUAAGACUAAAUGACCUAAAAUUUUCUAUUUAUAGUAGGUUACAAAAAUAGUGUGAAAUGUCCAAAAGGCCCCUUAGUUAAAUCCUUCACUUUGGGCACCCUUGGAGUGUAGUUUGUGGACUGUUUUGGAGCCUAUUUAGGCCUUCCUUUUCACUUCACUUUUACGCUCUAAGUCUCAGGUUCAAUACAUCUCACAUACGUCCAUCCUCGUGGUCGUACUUGUAUUAUUCUCCCCUUCUUGAAAAGGAUUCAACCUCGAAUUUGUACCUUGCAAAAUCAAGAGAAGACAAACUGUCAUGACCCAAACUAGGGUCUGACCGUGACAGACAUCCCAAACCAUGAAGGCCUGGGAUGCCCUUCUCUAUCUGGUAUUCAUGCACAACAUUCAUGUAAUAAAAGAAGAUGCGAAAACAUAAUCUGCUAUGGAAACAUAGUCAAUUAUAAAUUCAACAUAAGUAUGAAAGCUAUAGAUCAACUACAUCUAAAUAACAUCUGACUCAGUCUGCAAAAUCUCUACUACAUGAAAAUCUGACAACUAUUUGAAAUCUGGGACAAGGCCCCCAGUAGACCAAAACUAAAAUAAGUGACAUAAUCUGAAAAGACAGGCCUUCUCACCAAAUGAACAUUGCAACUCUGUUUGAUAAUAAUCUACUGCUUUUCUAGACCCCUAGAAGGAGCCUCGAACCUGGAGGGAGGAGGGGGGGGUUUAUACAGAUGUAAUGGUAUGCAAAGUAAUCCAAAAUAAAAUUUGUAUAUAUACAUAAAAUAGUUGGAGAGCAAUUCGUCAAAAUGUCAUACGUGAAAUAAUUCUAAAACACAUGGGCACCUUUCUGAAAAGUCAUAAAUUAUUCUUGACAAUGCAGUUUCUGAUCUUCGUGUUAAUUUUGAGUUAGGUAGCACUCCCCUACAAUUCUGAUAUUCAAUGGGCGAUAUGGAAUCCGCCAUUAACUUGGCGGGGAAGCCCCCUAUAACACCCCGUAUUUUUGGGAUAGAUUCAAGACUGUCGUCCUUAUGCGUAUAGACCCGAACUAGAUGAUUCCUUGUUAAUAUAUAUGUGGUGAUCAAUCCUAUAGUGUAAGAAUACCUUUGAAUAUGAAUUUAUUUCACAAAAAUCCCCAAACUCUAAGACAAGAUGAAAACAUUUCUACCGAAUAAGUUUUAGUGGAUGUUUAAACUUGGGUCAACUUCCAUCGACUAUAACUCCUAGUAUAUGAUGAAUUAGAGGGCUUAUUAUAUAUCAAAUGAAAGUUCUUUGAAUAAGAUUUCUAAUGAUACUAAUUUCACCUAAAUCCGAUAUUUGAGUGAAAAGUUAUGGCUAUUUUAGUGACUGAGACAGUAGCAGCAUGCAAUAAGCAUGCGACGCACGCCCUAUCGCACGCUCCAAAUUUUCAGCUACUAUUUCUGCAUUUUUAAGGGUAAAAUAGGUAUUUUCAGCCCCCUCUUCUUCAGCUUAAACAUGGGUUUUUAAUCCCAAAUGACCUCAUUAUUGAUAUUUUCAUCAAAUUACUCCAAGAACACUCUUUAGGGUUUCAAACUAAAAAUCCAAGUAGUUCAAGAUUCAACUGUGGGUUUUCAAAACAAAUUGAAGAAUUGGAAUCCCCACAACAUAGGCUUCAAGAAGCACCCAUCGCUUUCUGAAAUAGAGGUACGUGGGGUUGUCCUAAAUUUCAUGGGCCUGUUUUCAAAAAGGAAUUUACGCAAGACUUUAAAUUUAUACAAAUAUAUAUAUGUUUUACAGAUGGGGGUUUUCAAUUGAUACAAAUAGCAUGUUUUGAUAUAUGAUUUUGAAAGAAUUAUUGAGAUAUCAUGGAGUUGUUUGUUUGAAUGUAUUUUAAUGGUUAAAUUAUGAACAUGUGACCUGAAAUUUCAAAAGGAUGUGAUGUACAUGAGUUGUGAAUUUCCUAAAUUCCCCAUGAUAUUGUUUAUACCCCAUAUUAUACUUGUGUUAAACCAUUGAGAGCAUGAAUUUUGCAAUUGAUCUGACAUUACUCAUAAGUGAUUAUACUUCUUAAAUGAUUGCAUGUUGAGAACCAUGGUGUGUGUGUUUUUAAUGGUGUGAAAGUCAUACAUAUGUGCAUGUUGUAAAUGGUAUGAGAAGUUGAUGUGAUAUUGAUUACUUGCAAGUCGGGUAUGACGAUACCCUACAUAAUAUGAGAUGUGAUUGAAUUAAAAAAAGUUUGAAUGUAUUGAUUUUACAUGAGAUAGGUAGAUGUCCGAAGAAGGCAUUUGAGUGAAAGGGCUCAUCGCUGGAAACCGUGUUUGCCGACUUGGGAACAUGGUACCCUACUGUGUGAUCUUAUGUACCUGACAUUAUAUGUCAUCCCAAAGUAGGACUAUGGUUAGAAGCCCUGCUUUGUGAUCUUGUGCACUACCAUACAUGAUUGGGUCGAGACACUCUGUUGUGUGAUCUUGUGUGUCUUUCCCUCACGUAUACUUGUUUUCAGCGGUAACCGAGAUUUGACAGUUGGUGAAAAUGUGAAAUUAUAGGGUGUACCACCUAGCUCAGUAAUGUUGCAUUGUUGUUGAAAAACCAUUAUACUAUGCCCAUGUGUUUUCGAACCAUUUUUCAAAAAAGUGUUUUAUAGCAGCUCUCAUCUAUGUUACAUAAAAAUUCUAUUUUUAUUUUUGGAUUACUCUGCUACCAGUACAUAUGUAUUGACCCCCCUCCUCCCUCCAAGUUUUGACGCUCAGUCAAGGGGUUCAGAAAACCAGUAGAUUUUCAGACAGAUUUGCAGAGACAAGUGGUGAGCCUUCUAUAUUUCGGAAGGCCUGAUGUCUGGCAGUUUAUUUAUCAUUUAAUAGUUUUGGGUCUACUGGGGGACUUGUCCCAGUUUUCAGAUAGUUGUUUGUUUCAGUCAUGUAGUAGGGAUUUCGCAGACAAUUUUCAGAUGUCGAUGGAUAUUGCGGGACAUUAUUUCCCAUUAUUGAUUUCAUUAGACUCAUGACCAUGUUUCCGUAGUAUUGUUAUCUUCCGUAUUUCUUUUAUCAUAUGAAUUAGGUGCAUGAUUACCAGAUAGAUAGGGGUGUUUCAGGCCUUCAUGGUUCGGAAUGCUCGUCACGGCCAAGACCCCAGUUUGGGUCGUGACACCCCCAACCCGAGUGUGCCACAAGGGUUGGAGUUUCUGAUUCUGAUACACCACAUGACACUAGGCCAGUGUAAUAUAAUAUACCCGGAUUGGCAAAUCACAAUUUUGGGCAAUAAGUUUUCUGAACUCAUGCCUUCUUCAGGGAACCACCUAAGCUCUUUUAAUGCCCAAAUUUUAUCAUGCUCUGAAUUAUGCAUUAUUCUAGUUUUCAACAUCUGAAAAUUCUGACUUUAAAUAUGCAUUCUAUUCUGUUCUGAAUUACCAUGGCAUAAUCUGAAUUGGUGUCGUCACACCAAGACUUGCAAGUCCUAUUUCGGAGCCAUAUUUCAUCAUGCAUAAUUCUUUCAUUAAAACAUAGUUCAGACCACCCAAACAUGAAAACAGUAUAAGAGAUUUCAUGUUCCGAAAGCAUAAGUCAAAACUAUGCAAGAACUCUUCAUACAUAAAGUGGUCAUGUGCUUUUGGCAAAAUCCAUGCACUCUUUCAUUAUAUGUAUUUUCAACAUUUUUCAAUACAAACAACCCUCUCUUUGGAAUUCAAGAUUCACGACUGAAUCAUUCAUAAAUUAAGAUACUUCGUAACAUGCUUUUCAAGAUGCAUUUCAAAAACACCAUAUCAUAUGAUAAGUAAGGAAAAUCAUAACAAGAGAGGGAUUUUCACAUGAAUCAUGCUCUCAAUUCAAUCAUCAACAUUAAAACAUGUACAUAUAUACAUAUAUCAAUUCAAAUCAAUUUGGGGAAGGCCUAAAGACCAAAACAAUACCAUGAAAGCUUCUAAAACAUGAUUAUAUAUAUACAUAUAUCAAUUCAAAUCAAUUUGGGGAAGGCCUAAAGACCAAAACAAUACCAUGGAAACUUCUAAAACAUGAUUGUAUUCACAAAUCCGAAACCCUUUUCUUAAAAAUAUGAUUUCUAUGCCCAUGAGAUUUUAGGAAAACCCCGUGUACCUUAAUUUCGGAAGAUAAUAGGUAAUUUUUGAAGCUUACGGAUUGGGGAUUUCAAAUCUUCAAUCGCUGCUUUUGAAAACCCACGGUUGAAUCUUGAGUUAUUUGAGUUUCUAGUUUGAAACCCUAAUGGAGUUUCUUGAUGAAUUUUGGAGAAAGUGUAUGUAUUUAGGUGUAUUUGAGAUUAAAUCCCAUGUUUGGAUGGGUUUGGGCCCAUGGGAAAUGUCUAAUUUGACCUUGGAAUUUAAAAUUCGGGACUGGAAUGCCGUAAAAGACUUCAACGCGAUGCGCUAGAAAUCACGGUGAGCUACUGGAAUAGACAAUUGUCAAUUUAAGGCUCAUCGCGACAUGGUGGCCAGUCAAUCGGGAACGCUGACACUAAAAAUGCUCUAACUUCUUCACCGAGUGUCCAUUUUAGGCGAAUUUGGUAUCGAUGGAAAGCUAUUUUGAAGAUAUUUCAUUUGUUAUAUAGUAGGACACCUAGUUCUUUAUAUACAAGGAGAUAUGGUUGAUUGAAGUUGACUCAAGUUUCGACGCUCACUAAAACUCGAACGAUAGGGAAGCUUUCAACUUGUCCUUGAGUUAGGGGACCUUUAUGAUCUCAAUUCAUGCUCAAAUAGGUUGCUACACUACAUACUUGAUUAACAUGGAAAAUUUACAUAGGAUUUAUGGUUUUUGGAUUAUCUACGCAUAGAAAUGAUGAUUUUCAUUCUAGCCCGAAACAUGGGGCAUUACAAUAUCUCCUCCUUAGGAUCAUUCGUCCCUGAAUGAUGGGUAGGAACGUUGAAGCUUAAAGGUAUGGAAUAACAUGGACCUGAUGUGUCUUCUAAUAAAGGAUAUAACUGAUUUGAAACAUUUAAACUUCUAUCAUGAAACUGAAUUCUGAGCUGACUUGACUUCACUUACUUCAAGGGGCUGAUUCAUGCUGAGAGUUUAAGAUUCCCUUAAAAUGUUCAUGAUCAAAUCAUACAUACUGAAUUGAGAAUUGAUAACUUAUGCAAGUACAAAUCAUGAGGAAGCAUGUCUAAGAUCGCACCACGUUACUAAACUAUCUGAGCUAAAAUACUUGGAAACAUUUGAAAUUAUGCUCUGCAUUCUUAUGAACCGAGUCAUGACUAAGUAGCUUAAUCUGAAACAUGAUGCUUUGACUAAUCUGAAUUCACAACUUAAAUGGAUGAAAUAGAUUAUCUCUUGGGAUGGUCAUACGCUUGAGACUUCGGAUAGUAGGACUGGGUGAAAAGGUGGAAAACCACAGUAACUUGUCUAUCUGACUGUUAAAAUGAAUUACUGGCUAUACAGACUGAAUUAUGCUGGACCCUUAUACUUAACUGGAGUAUCUCAUUCAACAAUCUUUCUAAAGAAGUCAUAGUAGCGUUAGGGAGCAAAGAAUCUUGGGCACUGGUUACACAAGACAUCCAACUAAGGAAUCACAAUAAUGACACUACCCUAUAGCAUGGAAUAUAGAUAUAUAACUUAUAAACUAGGAUAAAACUACUAGGCCUUAGGCAAUGCAACUUCUUAUUUUCAAGCUGAGCGCACUUCUCGAAUACUCCCUUAACUAUAUUAUUCCCUUUAAAUACCAUACUCAUUGAUUUAAAUUGUAAUCCUCAUAUGGGCAUUGAUAAAUCUUUCUACUAAUGCCUAAAGUAACAUAAGUCCUCUCACCAUGAUCAAGCCUAACUUCAAAUCACAAAAUACAACAUGCACCAUGAUACUAGUCUAAACCAUAUGAUUCAAUCUUCUAUAUCCUCUUUAGAGAUCACACCCUAAGCAUAACGUGCCUUACUACUUCAAUGACUAACUCUGAUCUCUUACUAUGGAUUCACUAGCACAUAUUACGUUCCUCCACUUAAAUCUCAACACGUCAUUCCAUCCUAUCUUUAUAACCACAUAUAAACUUCAAGGAAAACACCCAUAAGGACAUACUUCACAUAUUCUCUAAUCCACCAUCAACAUAACUCCCACGCGCUACCCCAAGAACAUACACACACAAAUUUCCACUAACCAUCACAUAUAUCAAAGACUUGGCCCCAGAUCUUACUUCACACUUAUGGCCUUAUCUAAAACAAGCAUACUAUGAUCUUUCAUUAACAAGAAAUAUUUACUCAUCACCACUAUCAUCACAUAAGGAGGAGUCACUAAAAGGUUAGAACAUAAGACCUUGAAACAUGGGAGGAUAUUAUAUGAGACUUGAUACUUAACCGAGGCUAAAGGAAUAGCAAAUCAACAUCAGGGAUUCAACAAAGUGAUCUGAAUUGGGGCAUACAUGACUAUACAUGACUAUAAGCUAAAUCUCAUCUAUCAUAAAGAGUAUAGAAUGAAUUAUGAGAACUGAGCACACUAUAAAGCGUGAGUACAUGAGUCAUGAGCUGCAUGACCUAAAUUUGAAGUUCAUAACAUAUGAAAUGUGAUUCUGACUACUGAAUGAAUUGGAACUCCUCAUUUUAGAACUAGAAGAGAACGUGAUUCUCUCUCAUAUACCUGAACAUAAACUAUGAUCAUGGAACUAAAACGUAAAGCAUGAGUAGGUAUUGGGAUAAAUGAAAAAUACUGAGAUAAGAAUGGGUUGAGCCUUACCCUCACUUCCUAUUAACAUCACUACUAGAAUCUAAAAGCCUGUCUUGGUCACUUGUUUUAUCAUCUCCCCCUUAGCUUUAAGCUAUCAUCUUAAGUUUGAGAGAUCCCUUAGUAGACUCUAAACUGAACUACACUCACUACACUCUGGGGCCUGGAAUACGAUGAUGCACGUAAUUAAUAGAACGUAACCCAAAUAACUACACCUGGAAGUGGAAAACCCACUGCUAAUACCACCUUCUGAGACACACUUUAUCAUUCUAUAGACCUAAUAUUCAUCAUAUAAUACUUGAACACUUACUAACUUCGAAUCUUCAUGAGUAUUCCCAUAGUUGGAGUACACACCCUAUAGCGCGUUAACUCUUAUUUCUAUCAGUUCAACCUUCAAAAAAUAUUCAAACUUAGAUUAUAACCCUUAACAUGGAUAUCACCAAGCCUUUGAUGAACCAUACUACUUCCGUCAUAGCAUAUCAAUAUCGCGACUCCAACUUAUAUCUCUCUACCAUGAAAAUUCAAGAUCAUAUCAAAAGGCUCAAUACUAUCAAUUAGAACUCCUUAACUUGGCUAUUUAGAACACCAAAUACCAUCUAGCAACUCAAAGAUACUACUAGCCACACACAAUAUGUAAUAGCCUUAGAAAAAUCAUCGCAACCUCAUAUCACCUUGGGCAUACUUCUACAUCAUACAUACAACAUCAUAUUUCAUUACGAAUCAAACAAACUUAAGUUGUGGCAUACACUGUUCAAGCCUAUUAGAUCACUUCCAUAAGACUAAUAUCAUUAACCAAGAAAUCAUCACAUCCACCUUCAUGGACAUCAACUGUUCAAACAUAAUAUCUAGUGCUAAAUAUGAUUUACAACCCAACCUUACACACAAUUCUCAAAAACAUUCAUCAUUAAUCUUAAGCCACUAUUCUUACAUCCACAUUCUAUAUUAAAUUCAAGCCUAUAGUCUAACAUCAAUCGUUUACCACCAAUGAAGAAUGCAACAUAAUAUACUAGUUCAUCAAAUUGGGACAUUCUAUCCAAAUACCUCAAAAAUCUACUACAUACCUUCUCACAAGUAGUACUAAUUUACAACUACCAACAAAAAGAAGGUCAAGGGGGGUAAAUUCACAUAAUAGAUAUGGUCAACCUUAAUCAUAUAUCAUAACCCCAUACAAUCUUAUCUACUUAUACGGUUUUCUCAUAUCACACCUACUUACCCAAGCGUACAUUUAGACUGCUUUCAAAUUCUACAAACAACCAUGAGUCUAUAAUUCUAACUUACUGGCUAAUCUAGCUAUUUUCAUACUUCAAGCAAAGAAUAAUUCACCUUGACUAAUAACUCCUUCUUUACCUUCUACUAAACUAACACACAAGGACGUAUCACUUCAUUACCAACUCAAUCUCAUGCAAAAAGAUUCGGCUAUAUAUAUAUUCAAUAAAAUGCCCUUACCACCUUUCUUCCCAUUUUGCCUCUAAACCCCGAGUUCCAAACAACACGAGAACAACAAGAUGAACAACAAGUUUCUAGUGAAUCGAAAUAGGUCUCCCACGGCUUCACUAGACUUUGAUUUUUGUGUUUUGAACAAGAAAAUGAAAUGAAUAACAAAGCAACUCUGCUAGUGAAUCGAAAGAGCCCCACACGGCUUCACUAGACUUUGAUUUUUCAAAAACACCAUGAUAACAAGAUUACAUAUUAAAAGAGAUAGAAAAUUGAAACACAAUAUUCAAUGAUCUAAGAAUACACAUCUUACUCUGUAUAAAUAAAAAUCUGAGAUGAUCUAAGAAUACACAUCUUACUCUACAUAAAUAAAAAUCUGAGUCAAACACUUCUCCCACAGACUACCAUACAAUCAACACAUGGUACUAGCUACCACAUUAGUCUAUCACUAUAAAGUAGUAAAUCAUCCUUAAAUAUCAGUUAUUCAACUAAAAUAUUUAUUUACGCACGUCACCCCCACUCUAACUUCUAACUCUGUGACUUCACAUCACCAACUUCGUGGUCCAACAUCACUACCAAUAAGUCAUGACACCAACACUUAACUUAUACUACUACUUAGGUGGAAAUACUGUUCCAACAUUCUGCUACACAUCGUUCCCACUUAAGCAUGACAUUUGCAAUACUAAUUCUGAAAAAAAAAAUAGAAUACUCUUAAUACAGUAGGACAAAAAGCAUGAUUUCAUCGGAAUCAAAGUUCACACUAAAAUCAAUACACUCUGAGGCACUAACGGACUCUUCUCAAGUCCUUGCACAAAUUUUAAAGUCUUAUGUAGCUCAACCAGAAAGGACCAUGUCAUUUAGACUGUAAACUUCUGCACUUGAAUCACCCCAAUAAUGAGACAUAUCUAAGCACAUCAGAGUAAGUAAAUAAUUGGGAUAGCUUUACUUUCAUAUGGGCGACACCAUAGCACGAAUUAGAGUACGGAAGAGGAACAUUCUGGAUCAAUAGCACAAACUAGAACAUGAAGAUAGGGAAAUAUUCCUAAACGCCUAGUAGCCUCCUGCUUAUAAGUGUGGCACGCUACACACCCAUAAAUAAGACUCUACUCGAUGCAAUUUCGCAGACACCCUGGGACCAUGAACCGUGCUCUGAUACCAAGUUUGUCAUGACCUGAAUUAGGGCCUGACCGUGACGGACAUCCCGAACCAUGAAGGCCCUUGACUCCCUUCUCUAUCUGGUAAUCAUGCACAACAUUAAUAUAAUAAAAGAAGAUGCGGAAACAUAAUCUGCUACGGAAACAUGGUCAAUUCUGAAUUCAACAUAAGUAUGGAAGCUGUAGAUCAACUAAAUCUAAAUAACAUCUGACUCAAUCUGCAAAAUCUCUACUACAUGAAAAUCUGACAACUGUCUGAAAUCAGGGACAAGGCCCCCAGUAGACAAAACUAAAAUAAGUGACAUAAUCUGAAAAGACAAGCCUUAUGGAAUAAAGAAGGCUCACCAACUGAACACUGUAACUCUGUCUGAUAACAAUCUACUGCUUUUCUGAACCCCUAGACUAAGCCUCAAAACCUGGAGGGAGGAGGGGGGGUCAAUACAGAUGUACUGGUACGUAAAGUAAUUCAAAAUAAAAUGUGUAUAUAUACAUAAAAUAGUUGGAGAAUAAUUUGUCAAAAUGUCAUACAUGAAAUAGUUCUAAAAUGCAUAGGCACCUUUCUGAAAAGUCAUAAAUCAUUCUUGACAAUGCAGUUUUUGAUCUUUAUAUUAAUUCUGAGUUAGGUGGCACACCCCUAUAAUUCUGAUAUUCCACGGGCGAUAUGGAAUCCGUCAUUAACUUGGCGGGGAAGCCCCCAACCCGAGUGUGCCGCAAGGGUUGGAGUUUUUGAUUCUGAUACGCCACACGACACUAGGCCAGAGUAAUAUAAUAUACCCGAAUCGACAAAUCACGGUUUUGGGCAAUGAGUUGUCUAAACUCAUGCCUUCUUUGGGGAACCACCUAAUCUCUCUUUGUGCCCAAAUUUUAUCCUGUUCUGAAUCAUGCAUUAUUCUAGUUUUCAACUUCUGAAAAUUCUGACUUUAAACAUGCAUUCUAUUCUGUUCUUAAUUACCAUGGCAUAAUCUGAAUUGUCGUCACACCAGGACUUGCAAGUCCUAUUUCAAAUCCAUAUUUCAUCAUGCAUAAUUCUUUCAUUAAAACAUAGUUCAGACCACCCAAAUAUGCAAACAGUAGAAGAGAUUUCAUGUUCUGAAAGCAUAAGUCAAAACUAUGCAAGAACUCUUCAAACAUAAGGUGGUCAUGUGUUUUUGGCAAAAUCCAUGCACUCUUUCAUUAUAUGUAUUUUCAACAUUUUUCAAUACAAACAACCCUCUCUUUGGAAUUCAAGAUUCAUAACUGAAUCAUUCAUAAAUUAAGAUACUUCGUAACAUGCUUUUCAAGAUGCAUUUCAAAAUCAAUCCAUAUCAUAUGAUAAGUAAGGAAAAUCAUAACAAGAGAGGGAUAUUCACAUGAAUCAUGCUCUCAAUUCAAUCAUCAACAUUAAAACAUGUACAUAUAUACAUAUAUCAAUUCAAAUCAAUUUGGGGAAGGCCUAAAGACCAAAACAAUACCAUGGAAACUUCUAAAACAUAUUGUAUUCACAAAUCCAAAACCCUUUUCUUAAAAAUAUGAUUUCUAUACCCAUGAGAUUUUAGGAAAACCCCACGUACCUUAAUUUCGGAAGAUAAUAGGUAAUUCUUGAAGCUUACGGAUUGGGGAUUCCAACUCUUCAAUCGAUUUUGAAAACCCACAGUUGAAUCUUGAGUUAUUUGGGUUUCUAGUUUGAAACCCUAAUGGAGUUUCUUGAUAAAUUUUGGUGAAAGUGUAUGUAUUUAGGUGUAUUUGGGAUUAAAUCCCGUGUUUGGAUGGGUUUGAGGCCAUGGGAAAUGUCUAAUUUGAUCUUGGAAUUUAAAAUCCGGGACUGAAACGCCGUAAAAGACUUCAACGUGAUGCGCUGGAAAUUAAGGUGAGCUACUGGAAUAGACAAUUGUCAAUUUAAGGCUCAUCGCGAUGCGGUGGCCAGUCAAUCGGGAACGCUGACACUAAAAAUGCUCUAACUUCUUCAUCGAGUGUCCGUUUUAGGCGAAUUUGGUAUCGAUGGAAAGAUAUUUCGAAGAUAUUUUAAUUGAUAUAUAGUAGAACACCUAGUUAGUUAUAUCCAAGGAGAUAUGGUCGAUUGAAGUUGACUCAAGUUUUGACGCUCACUAAAACUCGAACGAUAGGAAAGCUUUCAACUUGUCCUUGUGUUAGGGGACCUUUAUGAUCUCAAUUAAUGCUCAAAUAGGUUACCACACUACAUACUUGAUUAACAUGGAAAAUUUGCAUAGGAUUUAUGGCUUUUGGAUCAUCUACGCAUAGAAAUGAUGGUUUUUAUUCUAGUGCGAAACACGGGGCAUUACACAAACAAGCACACAUCCUCAUGACAAGAGGUGUUAGGGUUAGAAAAAAUAACAUAUCAACAUGUCAUGCCGAGGUGGAAUAAACUUAAAGUACAUCCGCGGGUCCUUGGUUUUAAGCAUGAAAAGAUUAAUACAAAUGUGACAAAGGAAGUGGAUCAAAUAAUGUCACACCCCUUUUUCUCUCAAGGGAAUCGAGGUCGAAGGGUUUUUCCAAUUAAAGUGACGGUAUUGAAUAGGGAUUAAUUUUUAUUAUUUUUAGAGUCGACACUUGGAAUUGAGUUAUGGUAUUACAAGUCACCUUAUUGAAUCCCUAAUCAAAAGGAAAUGACUCUUUAUUAUGGUCUGCAAAAACAGAAGACUGUGUAAGGAAUUCUGUUGAUCGAGGGGAAGGUGUAAGGCACCCCUCGAAUCCCAUGGUUCUAGCAUGGUCGCUUUAAUUGACUUACCUUGAUUUAAUCUACUUUGAUAAAUUAUGUUAAAGCCUAAAAUCGCUCAUUUUAUUAUUUAAAACUUGUCUAUUAUUUCAUAUUAAAUAAAUCAGUGAAAGUUUAAAAAUAUUUGUCAAGUUACUUUUAGAAAAAUAUUUGUCAAUGUGCAUUAUUGCAUCCUUGAAUUUUAAAUAUCUCAGAAAGAUGCGUACGCUGCAUUCUUAAAUGAGACAAACAUUUUAAGUGCGACUAAAUUUCCCUAGCGUUAAAACAUUGAUUUAUCUUUUGUAAAAUUGUAACAAUUUUAUUUGUUUGAAAUACUACUUAAUCUAAUAACAUUCAAAAAUAAUAUUCAAUUAAAACUAUUAAUUAAUUUAAUAAAUAAUUAUUAAGCUUCAUGAAAGAAUAAAAAUAAUAAACUUCUAAAGUCAAAAACACACUUUAUAACUUCAAAAAUCAAAAUAAUGAAGAUUUUUCUCUUUUUAUUUUUAUUUCAUUCUUUGUUAUUUUCUAUCUACUACUUUUACUAUCUUAACUAGUAAGGGAUAUGAUAUUUAACAAAUUCAUUUUUUCUUUUCCAUAUUAAAGUUACACAUGAGACAAAUAUAAUAAAAAUAAUCAACAACACAAAUAAAACUAGUGUUUUCAAAGAGCUUUGCCGGAGAAUGGAGAAACUCCGGCCAGAUCUGGCGCUGGAGAGGGAGGAAGGGAGGCGGCAGCGAGGUUGAUUUAUAGGAGCAGCGCGCGUGGUGGCCAACGUUGGUUGGGCUUCACCGGUGAUGGUAGUUCCGGCCAGAUCCGGGAACGGGAAAUGGAGGGAUGGCGGAGAGACGCUGGAAAAAAGGGUGAUUUUCGACGAGAUUUGCGAUGGGAAGGGAGAAAAAGGGAACAGCGGUGCGGGGGAAGGGGAAGAAAAGGGAUGGUCGGCGCCUAGAUUCACCGGAGAAAUCAAAGCAACAACAGUGGCUGGUUACCGACGAUAAAUCGCCAAAAAAAAAGUUUUUAAUCUCCUUGUUUUUAUUAUUGGCUUUCUCAUUUUUUAUUUUUUCGUCUGUCUCGAUCUUGGUCUCACUUCCCUUUUGAUUUUUUUUUACUCUUUUUGGUAUGUACUGGUAUGCGUGUGGCACUGUGUAUAUGUGAAAAUCUAUGAAUAUGUGUGUAUACUGGUUUAAACAAACUAUUUAAACUAUUUAAACAAACUUCAUUCAUAUUUUGGUUUCUAAUUGAAUUUUAUACAACAAAUAAUGUAAGAUUAAAGAGGAACCUGUAAGGAAUAUAAUUGAAUAAUACAACAAGAAAUUUUCUCCAGAAACUUCGAACGGAAUCCUAAUUCACUGAUACUCUUUUCUCUCUUUGGAUUGAUGAUUUUCUCUCUAUUUUUUUAUCUGGUUUUUUAAUGAUGUAGAUGUAGUAGAAUCUCUCCAAAAAAAAAGGGGUUUAAAUUUUAAAUUUAUAUAUUAUUAUUAUAUAUAUUUUUAUUUAUUUUUAUGUAGAAACUAAUAAUAAUAAUAAUAAAUAUAAUAAUAAUAAUAAGUAAAUAAAAUAAAAUAAAUUAAAUAAUAACAAUAAUAGAAAAAUAAAUAUAAUAAUAAUAAAUCAAUUAAUUUUAUAUUUAAAAAAUAUAAUAAUAAUAAUAAUUUAUAAAUAUACAAAUAUAAAUAUAAUAAAAUAGUAUUAAAACUACUAAUUUAUUUAUUAAAAAUUUACAAAAGAAAAAUAUUUUUUAAUUUUUGUUUAAUUAAUUUUUAUUUAAAUUAGAAUAAAAAUAAAAAUAAAAUAUCUUAAAGUUAACUUUAUUUAAUUAUUUAUUUUUUAACUAAAAAUUAUUAAAAAUAAAAUAAUAAUCAAAAUAAAUUUUAUUAAAUAUAAAUGUUUAAUAUCGAUAAACAAGUUAAAAAUUUAGGGAGGAUAAAAAAUCACGUGUCUACAUUUUUGCCCCUCUUUGUGUGGAAUCUCGAAGAGUUUUCAUACAAAGAAGUAGACAAAAUAUGAUUUUUGAUCCUCCAAUUAUUUGAAAAGUAAAAAUAAGAAUAAAAAUAAAAGGAGAAAUGUGACCGAGUCCUGGUUUUUGGACAUCCUACCUAUCCCAGGUUAUAAGGGAAUCAGGUCACGAGUAGUUCAAAGGUGAUAUGGAGAGAAAAGGAUUUAAAAGUCGAAUGAGAUUCCAUUGAGUUUUCAGUUAACGACUUCCACCUUUUACAUUCAAAUGACUAACAAAAAUAAAAAAUGAAAUGAAAAUUGCAAUCUCAUGACUUAAACUUGAAAAUUCACCCUAUUCUUCAGGCGGGCUCCUGACUUUCAAUUUCUUCACCCUAUUCUUCAGGCAGGCUCCUGAACUUCCUUUUUCUUCACCCUGUUCUUCAGGCAGGCUCUUGGAGUUAUAAUUUCUUCACCAUGUUCUUCAUGCGGGCUCCUGGAGUUACUUUUUCUUCACCCUGUUCUUCAGGAGGGCUCAUGGACUUACAAUUUCUUCACUCUGUUCUUCAGGCGAGCUCUUGGAGUUACUUUUUCUUCACCCUGUUCUUCAGGCGGGCUCCUGGAGUUACUUUUUCUUCACCCUAUUCUUCAGGCGGGCUCCUGGAUUUAUAAUUUCUUCACCUUGUUCUUCAGGUGGGCUCCUGGAGUUACUUUUUAUCACCCUGUUCUUCAGGCGGGCUCCUGGACUUACAAUUUCUUCACCUUGUUCUUUAGGCGGACUCCUGGAGUUACUUUUUCUUCACCCUGUUCUUCAAGCGGGCUCCUGGACUUACAAUUUCUUCCCCCUGCUCUUCAGGCGGGCUCCUGGACUUACAAUUUCUUCACCCUGUUCUUUAGGCGGGCUCCUAGACUUCAAUUUCUUUAUCCUGUUCUUUAGGCGGGCUCCUGGAGUUACAAUGUCUUCACUCUAUUCUUCAGGCGGGCUCCUGAACUCAAAGUAAAUAGUGAAAUAGAAAAUAACAUCCCAUUUUUCAGGAGGGCCCUGAGCAUUAAAAUAAAUUCUCAUUCUUCAGGAGGGUCCUGAGCAAAAAAGUAAAUUCCCAUUCUUCAGGAGGGUCCUGAGCAAAAGUAAAUUUUUAUUCUUUAGGAGGGUCCUAUGCAUAAAAAUAAAUUCCCAUUAUAUAAAUCUUCAUUCUUCAGGAGGGUCCUGAGCAUAAAAAUAAAUUCCCAUACAACACACACAUAAAAAUUUGCCCCAGUUUGUACUGGGAAAAUUUAUGUGUCGUCAAAUUUUAAUGUUUUGAAAAAUAUAGUGACAGAAUAAAUCAAAGCAUGGAAUAGCUUUGAUAAAUUAAUCUCCCAAAGAAUAAAAUUUACCAUAACCGAGAUCCACUAUCGUAUGUUGUAAUCUUGAUUCUUGCAUUGACAGAAGUGUGAAAUUGCAUCCUUUAUUUGAACACAUUCUAUCUCUGUUUCAAACAAAACAAAGAAAAAUUGUGAGUUUUAAACACAUGUGGUGAUUGGUUUGUGGUUUUCGGCUCUUGAAGUGACCAUUCUUGCACUUUUCAUGUUCAACUCGUUUUCAUUCCUUGAUUGAUUCUCAUUGACUUGUCAUAUCUCUGACCCAAAAUUCUGACUACUGGCAGUCUCAACUCAAAACAUAUUUCUCUUGUAUAAUAUCUCAGGAUUUAACUUUCCAUACACCUUUUAUCCUUCCAUGAGUCAAAAAUUAUCAAAUCACAAUCAUUCUGAAUACUUUAUUAUACUUCAAAAUGUUGUUUUUGUGUGUUGACCCUUUGUCUUUCUUUGUACCUUUGAAGAAGUUGGUAGCAAGUUUGGAGUUCUUUCUCACUUGACCUGACGUGAGUUUGACUCAAAAACACAUAAAAGACAAUAAAAAUUUUUGUUUGAUGACAAGGACACAAAAAUAAAAAAUCAAAAAUCAAAAUAAAACAAAAAGAAAAAAAAAAUAGGUAUCUCUUUUUCCAAAUUAACAAUAAAAACUUAUCUGAAUGUGAAAACCAAUUCUGGUGAUUAUGACAUGCAUUUCGAAUUACACAACCAGAUCUAAUCACCAAUCAUUAUUAACUUUCGUCCACUCAUUGAGAUUGAAAUUUAGCCAAUCUUGAACUUGUUCCUUCUGGAUAACAACCCUUCUUCAUCUAGUGACACCUCAAAGCCAACGAGCCAAUCUCAUUUUCACUUCUUUCUUGGCUUACAGUCUCCUUAUGGUGCCCAACAGGGUUUUCACCAAUAAGACUUUUUUUCUUCAUAGAAAGUAUCACCUAACAUAUGAAAUAUCAUGCACCCAUAACAUGUUUAGCCUUGACAUUCUCAAAGAUUAAUCUGAAGGUCUUUCUUUGGUUGUAACUUAGCUUUUCGAAUUGGGUUAGAAAGAAAGGUCAGCAUGAGGCUCAAAAUUUACACAAAAUUGGGUAAAGCAUAAAAUUUUUGGAAUCGACUCUUUUUAGGAAAUAAAUUUUUGCCCAGUUUUAUUUCAUCCUAAGAAUUUUGAAUUUUCUUUUGGUUGGACCGAACCCCGGAGUAGGGCUGCCUACAUAUCUUGUCAUAGCAAGAAUCAGGUCACACGUAGCUCAUGACAAUCAUUCUUUGCUUGAUUUUGGACUUUUGAUUGAUUUUUCCUUAUUUAUUUAUUUUUCGACUUUUUUUUUCAACUUUUUUUUUAACUCUUUUUUUUUUAAUUUUCCAACUUUCAUUUGAUUCCAAAAGAGGGGUACGAAAAAAUAUAAAAGCUCAAAGGGGGUAAGCAAAGGUUGAUAUAUUAUUCGGAUAGUAGACAAAAUUCCUUCAUCAUUUCAAUCUUUUAAAAUAUAAGUACAAAACAUACAUGAUGUAAUUGUACAUGAAUAUCAUACAUAAUAUCUUUUAACUGCAUCAGCAUUAACCGACAUUCCUUCCAUUUUCCCCUCUGCAUCAGUCAGGUAUAACGCGCCAUUAGGUAACACUUUCUUCACCAUGAAUGGUCCAUGCCAAUUAGGAGAAAAUUUGCCUUUGGCUUCAAUCUGAUGGGGUAGGAUGCAUCUAAGUACUAACUGACCAACUUUAAAAUGUCUUUGACACACUUUUUUGUUAUAUGCCCAUGUCAUUCUCUUCUGGUACAGUUGUCCAUGACAUACUGGUGUUAAUAUUUUUUCAUCAAUCAAGCUUAAUUGCUCCAAAUGAGUCUUGACCCAUUGGUCAUCAUCAAUUUCAACUUCUACAACUAUUCGGAGAGAUGGAAUUUCAAUCUCUACAGGUAUAACUGCUUCAAUUCCGUACACUAACAAGUAAGGAGUUUCACCAAUUAAAGUCCGAACUGUAGUACGAUAACCCAACAAAGCAAAAGGUAACUUUUCAUACCACUAUCGGGAACCCUGCACCAUUUUACGGAGUAUUUUCUUUAAGUUCUUGUUGGCAGAUUCUCAGCUCCAUUUGCCUUUGGAUGAUAAGGAGUUGAAUUUCGAUGCAUAAUCUUAAAUUGCUGGCACACUUCUUGCAUCAAAUGGCUAUUGAGAUUCGCAGCAUUAUCCAUGACAAUUAUCUUUGGAAUGUCGAACCAACAAAUGAUGUUGGAGUGAGUAAAAUCAACCAUCACUUUCUUGGUCACUGACUUAAAAGUCGCUGCUUCCGCCCACUUUAUAAAAUAAUCAAUGGCUACUAAGAUGAACCUAUGUCCAUUCGAAGCCUUUGGUUCAAUUGGUCCAAUUACGUCCAUCCCCCAAGCCACAAAAGGCCAUGGAGAAGUCAUUGUAUGCAACUCAGAUGGAGGGGAAUGCAUCAAGUCCCCGUGUACUUGACAUUCAUAACAUUUACAAACGAAGCUGAUGGAAUCUCGCUCCAUGGUGAGCCAAUAAUAACCUGCUCAGAGUAUUUUCUUUGCCAAAACAUACCCACUCAUGUGUGGUCCACAAAUCCCAAAAAUAUACUUCAGUCAUGAUUUUUGAAGCUUCUUUAGCAUCUACACACCUCAAAAGUCCCAAAUCAGGAGUCCUCUUAUACAAGAUUCCUCCACUUAGGAAAAAUCCACUAGAUAAAUGUCGAAUGGUUCUCUUUUGAUUACCAUUGGCAUGUACAAGAUAUUUCCCAGUCUGAAUAUAUUCUUUGAUAUCAUGGAACCACGGCUCCCCAUCAAGUUCUUGCUCAACCAUAUUACAAUAUGCAUGUUAAUCAUGAAUCUGUAUAUGCAAAGGAUCAAUAUAAGUUUUGUCGGGAUAUUGAAGCAUCGAAGAUAAGGUCGCCAAAGCAUCAACAAUCUUAUUAUAAGCUCUGGGUAUGUGUUUGAAUUUUAUUGAUACAAAUCGUUGACAAAGAUCUUGCAAACAACCUCUAUAUGGUAGGAGUUUCGAAUCACGAGUCUCCCAAUCUCCUUGGAUUUGGUGGACUAAUAAAUCUGAAUCUCCUAAUAUCAACAAUUCUUAGACCUCCAUGUCAAUGGCUAAUCUUAAUCCCAGAAUGCAAGCUUCGUAUUCUACCAUAUUAUUGGUAUAGUAGAAUCGAAGUUGGGUUGUUAUAGGAUAAUAUUGUCCUGAUUCAGAAAUAAGAACUUCUCCUAUCCCCACUCCUUUUACAUUAGUAGCUUCAUCAAAGAACAAUUUCCAGCCUGAAUGGCUAUCGUCAGAAACAAACUCAUCAACAUACAAUACCUCUACAUCUGGAAAAUAAGUCUUCAAUGGUUUAUACUCCUCAUCAAUAGGAUUUUUAGUCAAAUGAUCCUCUAAAGCUUGAGCUUUCAUUACAGUUCAUGUCGCAUAGACAAUAUCAAACACUGUGACCAACAUCUGUCACUUCGCGAGUCUGCCUGUUGGCAUAGGCUUCUGAAAAAUGUACUUUAAAGGAUCCAUAUGAGAUAUAAGGUAAGUAGUAUAAGAUGAUAAGUAAUGUUUCAGCUGUUGGGCUACCCAAGUUAAGGUGCAACACGUCUUCUCAAGAAGAGUGUACUUAGCCUCGUAAGUGGUAAACUUUUUGCUAAGGUAGUAUAUGGCCUAUUAUUUUCUGCCUGUAACAUCAUGUUGACCCAAUACACAACCAAAAGAAUUUUCUAACACAGGCAUGUACAAUAUCAAGGGUCUUCCUGGCUCUGGAGGAACCAAAAUAGGCGAAUUCGACAAGUAUCUCUUAAUUCUGUCAAAUGUCUCUUGACAUUCUUUAGUCCAUUCAACUUUAGCAUUCUUUUUCAACAACUUGAAUAUUGGCUCGCAGGUUGUCGUAAGCUGAGCAAUGAAUCUACUAAUAUAAUUCAACCUUCCAAUUAAGCUCAUCAUCUCCGUUUUAUUUUUUGGUGGAGGCAAAUCUUGAAUAGCUUUUAUUUUUGAAGAAUCUAACUCAAUGGCACGUCGACUGACUAUGAAGCCCAAGAGUUUUCCUGACGGAACUCCAAAUACACAUUUCACUAGGUUAAGUUUGAGAUCAUAUCUUCGAAGCCUUUCAAAGAAUUUUCUGAGAUCUUUGACAUGGUCAGACUGCUCUCUUGACUUAAUGAUCACGUCAUCCAUAUAAACUUCAAUCUCUUUGUUCAUCAUAUCAUGAAACAUUGUGGUCAUUGUCCUCAUGUAAGUUGCCCCAGCAUUCUUUAGUCCGAAAGGUAUAACUCAAUAAUAAUAUGUCCUCCAUGGCGUAAUAAAUGAUGUAUUUUCUGCAUCUUCUAAAUCCAUAAUGAUCUAAUGAUACCCCGCAUAACAAUCCACAAAAGAAGCAAGCUCAUGUUUGGCACAAUUGUCCAAAAAAAUAUGAAUAUUUGGAAGUGGAAAAUUAUCUUUUGGACUCACUUUAUUUAGAUCACAAUAAUCAACACACAUCCGAACUUUGUCGUCCUUCUUUGGAACUGGGACAAUAUUUGCUAACCAAGUAGGAUAUUGGGCCACUCAAAUGACUUUAGCCUCAAGUUUCUUCGUGAUUUCCCCUUUGAUUUUUACACUCAUGUCGUUUUUAAGCUUCCUUAAUUUUUGCUUGACAGGAGGGAAAGCAGAAUCAAUUGGCAACUUGUGAACUACCAAAUCAGUGCUCAAACCGCGCAUAUCAUCGUAAGACCAUGCAAAGAUAUCUUUAUACCCAAGAAAAGCUUCAAUUAUAACUUUGUUAUGGUUGAGCACGUAUACUUAUCUUAGUCUCCCUAAUAUUUUUGAGAUCUCCUAAAUUGAUCGCUUCAGUUUCCUCCAAAUUGGGGGUUGACUUGUUCUCAAACUGUUUGAAAUCUUUGCUUAUAUCCUCAAAUGCUUCUUCUUCAUCAUAUUCAACUUCUUUAUUUAUUAUUUCAUAAUUAUAUUGGGUUUUUAAAUCUGGUUGAUAAUUUUUCAUGCAUGUCAUAUCAUUAGAAUCAACAUAAAAAGAACAAUAUGAUAGAAAAUAAAUAAAUAAAUAUCAGACUCAAAAUAAAAUAAAGGGAGACUUCACUUUAUUAAAAAAAUAAAAAUAGAAAGAGUUUUAACCUAUAAUACCAGGUUAAAGAUCUGAAUUACAAUCCUAAAAUUAUUCAAAUUAUAGAAAGAAAAACAAGCUACCAAGACUGAAAGAAAAAACAAACUACCAAGACUCCUUCAUAGUAGGGAGAAGAGUGGUCUCCCAAUUGUUAAGCUGGACAUCAGGGCCGAUAAACUGCACAUCUGUAUUACUGGUACCUUCCCCAAUUUCAACCAUAUCAGCUUCAAUGAACAUAUUCUGGAAAAGGCCAAUCAACUCUGUAUUAUCAUUAUUCACUGACUCUACAGCAGGUAACAUAGAAGACCCAGCAACGUUGACUUUGAUGAAGGAUUCAUGAAGUGGCGGUAUCGGCUUGGUAAGUGUCCAUGACUCUUUCUUAUGCUUUUUAGCCUUCUUUAUAUCUUCAGCAGUGGGCACGUAUCCCAAACCAAAAGUACCAAGGUUCUCAUGGAGGUUUACUGGAUGACCCUACUUUGUAAAAACAUCCCUAAACCUUUUCCUGGUUCGAAACAAUACUUCAACAUUUCAUUCACUACCAUAAUAGAUGCAGAGGACAAUUAUGGUCUUAUGAUGAGAUUCCUCUCGAAGAUAUGCUCAACAGCCACUACCUCAGAAGCAUGAUGAAUUAACACUCUAUCUGCAGUAUCUUCUUCAAUGGAGAAAAUGGAGUAGUCUUUAUACAUGGAUAAGUCUCCUUCACCAUGAACAACUAUUUCUCGCCUGUCGUGUUCAAAUUUGAUCAUUUGAUGCAAUGUUGAUGUGACUGCUUUAGCUCUAUAAAUCCAUGGCCUUCCCAAUAACAUAUUAUAUGAAGCAUCAAUAUUCACCACUUGGAAAUCCAAAGCAAAAUCCACAGGCCCGAUUGUCAGUAUGAACUCUAUUUCACCAAUGGCAUCAAUUUUUGAUCCAUCAAAACAUUUGACGCAUACAUUAUUAGGUUGGAUCCUUUCCACAUUAACAUUCAACUUUUGAAAAGUAGACAUAGGACAAAUAUUAGCGUUGAUCCUCUAUCAAUCAACACUCGAGUGACAAUGGAAUGCUCACAUUUCACAGUAAUGUAGAGAUCUUUAUUAUAUCCAGUACCUUCCACGGGUAAUUCAUCGUCUGAGAAAGUAAUCUUAUUUGCUUCAAAGAUCUUUCCAACAACCUUUUCGAGCUGAUUCACUCUAAUCUCAUUGGGAACACAUGUUUUAUUAAAAAUCUUCAUUAUAGCCUUACGGUGUUCCUCUGAAUGUAUUAAUAAAGACAACAAGGAAAUCUGUUCUGGUGUCUUCUUCAAUUGUUCUACGACAGAAUAUUCUGGCAAUUUCAUUUUCUUUAAGAAUUCUUCAGGUUCUUCAUCAGUAACAGGCUUCUUGACCAUCAUUCGUUCUUCAUUGCCUUGUUUAUUCUUCCUUAACUCUACUGGGGCAUAACAUCUCCCAGAUCGAGUUAAUCCACCUACUUUAUCGAUAUCUUCAAUUACUUUUUCCCUUAUGUAUCACCUUAAUGCGAUCAUAAUUCCAAAGAACUACCUUAGUAUUAACCAUAGGCAACUUUGAUACUGGUUUAAUAACAAUGGGAGCUAUAGGAGCUCCUUUUAUGAUUAAGAGAGGCUUAGGGGAUCUUCCAGGAACAAUGAGUUUCGGCUUUACUUGACUUGACCCAACAUUUUUUGAGAUCUCUUUCUCCAUCACCAAGGGAACAUUCGAUGAUUUGGGUUUUGUUAUCACCACCUUUUCUUUUGCAGGUUUUUCUUUUGUCAAAUCUACAGCAUUUGCCAAUUUUUCUGAACUAGUUUUGAUUUUAAUGAUCGGCUUGAAGGAUAUUAUAGUAUCUUUACCACUGGGUAUCACUUCGAGCGUGUUUGCUUCAUUAUGAUCUGGCAGCGGAUUUUGAUUAACAUUUGGAGCAUCUGGACUUUGUACUAUGAUCUAUUGGGUGUCAAUCAGCCCUUGAAUAGCUCUUUUCAGAUACCACUAUUUCUCUGUGUCGUGCCCUGGGGUAUCAGAACAGUAUUCACAUCUUCUAGAAUAGUCUAAGUUCUUCGAAGGAGGAUUCGGGAUUCUUCUCUCAAUUGGGUUUAGAACAUUCAUUUUCCUCAGCCUAUAAAAUAAACUGGUGUAAGAUAUUCCAAUAGGAGUGAAAUUAUCUUUGCCCAUGUUAUCCCUUUUAUAGUCUGCUCUAGGUCGGAAAUUAGACCUAGGAGGGCCUCUUUGAAUUUUCGGGAUCGGUGGAUGAUUUUGGAUGGCUGGUCCACGCUAUUGCGGGUAAGAAAGAGCCCGAGCAUAUGAUUGUGCAUUGUAAAUAGGAUAUUGGGGGGAUGGAACGAAAUAUAAUGGAUUUUAUACAUAUGGUUGACGUGAACCUCUCCAAUUUUGUCGUGGACAUGGUACGACAGUUGCUACAUCGUCUUUUCCUUUCUUUCCCCCAAAACUUCCUGCACCACUUUGAAUUGCCUGUGUUGUUGCUUUUAAAGCGGCCUGGCUGAUAAUCUUUCCCAACUUUAUUCCAUUCUCUACUAUCUCUCCAACUUUAAUAACUUCAGCAAAUGUGCUUCCAAUAGUCGAAAGUAAGUGAUGGAAAUAAUCGAGUUCUUGAGCUUGCAAAAAGAUAUCAAUCAUUUCAGAUUCCUUUAUCGAUGGCCUGAUUCUUGAAGCCUGCUUUCUCCAUCUGAUAGCAUAUUCUCGAAAACUUUCAGUCAUCUUUUUUCUCAUGUUAGCAAGCGUAAUGUGAUCUGGCACUAUCCCAAUGUUAUAUUGAAAUUGCUGAAUGAAAUCUCGAGCCAUGUGUCAGAGGCUAUUCCUGUCAGGCUUUCUCUAAAGUAAGCCAUCCUCUUCUUUUCCUCCUACUCCCCUUAAUUGGUUGCAGAACUUUUUCAAGUGAGCAACAGGAUCGCCAUGACCUUCGUAUUUGUCAAACUUUGGCAUUUUGAACCCUAGCGGCAAAUGGACGUCAGAAAACAUACAUAAAUCUUUGUAUGAAAUGCUUUUUGGUCCACCUAAUCCUUGCAUAUUUCUCAUACUCUGCUCCAAGCUUCUUACUUUCCUAGCCAUCUCCUCUUGUUCUUCAUUAUUAACAAUCUUCUCAAUUACGAUAGGAGAAUCGUGUUGAUAAGCAUGAUAAUGUGGAUUUUGGGAUUUGAAAGUUAUUUCAGUAGGAUACAAUAGAUCAUGACUUGGUUCCCCCAUAUUCUUCGGUAUUGUCGGUUGAGUACCUGUAGUAGCUGGUGCUAUAGAAGUAAAAAGAGGAUUAUUUGUGACAGCCAGAUUUGGUGGUCGCAUUGUAGAAGUACCAGCAAUACUAGGCAUAUUAGCAAAUGGGCCGAAUCCUGGUGGGUAAAAUGGAUCACUAGUUUGAGUUGGAGCAGGAUUUAGAUCAUUUGAAGUAGAAAUUCCAGGGAUUGAAGAAGGCGGGCUUGUCCAUUCAACCAAGCUUGGUACAUCUCUGCCAUCUGUUGUUUCAAUAACUUAAGUUCUUCCAUUGAUGCUACUUCCUGCGAAAUCAACUGAUUUUGAUCUUCUUCACCGUCAGACCCUAUACCUUCUCUGCUGUUCAUUUUUCUUUUUUCCUUGAAUAUGGUGUUGUACGGAUGUGAUGCCAUUUUAUACCACAAACCAACCACCAAUUACUUUAUCUUUUUGUAUGUCAAGUAGCAAACAAGUAAGUGCUAUAUAUUCAACACAUUAUAAUACCACGUUGUGUGUCAUGCUUCUAUAUGCAUUUUUCAACCUAUCAUGGAAGGCUUUGUGUUUCAUCCCGGCUUUUGUAGGCAUACUUUUCAAAAGUUAUGAUCGAACCCUUUGGAGGGUUUCCUACGUAUCAUGCCAAGACAUGAAUUAGAUCUUGCGUAGUUCGGGAAAAUUGGAGAUACAAAGAAACAUAUCCCUUUUUCUUAAUUAUUUGAAUAAUGAGAAACAAUUUAUUAUUAUUAUUAUUAUUGAAUUUAUAAAUAUAUAUAUAUAUAUAUAUAUAUAUAUAUAUAUAUAUAUAUUUGCAUUUUUUUUUAAUUUAGAAGGAAAGACAAUUAUUUUCUAAAGAUUACCGAAUCCAUUGAGGACUGCCUACGUAUCUCGAUAAAAUGAGAAUCAAGUGUGCGUAGUUCUUGAAAAUUAUGUCAUACAAAAUUUAUCCUCAAGACCCCAAAAGGUUCAGGGCUAUUAAGAUUUAUAUUUUUUGUAAAAACUUAACCUCAUGAUCCCUAAAGAUUCAGGACUAUUAAGAGUGAGAAUCAGACCCUCGUAGUUCAUGAAGACAUUAAAACUAUGUUACUAAAAUUUUUCAAUCUUUUAAAAAUAAAAUUUUUCUUUGAAAAAAAUGAUUCACUAAAUGUGAGGAUAAAUUAAUCUCUUGCAUUUUAAAAUUGCCUAAAGCCUGUCGACAACCAAAUAACCUUCCAAAAAAUGUCAAAGAGCACGUAGGAUGCACAUGUUAGUCUUUAUAAAGUAGGUCGCAUGUUCUAGGCAGACCCAGCCCCUGUGCCUAGUCCCGCUAAGUCAAAUGUAUAUGAUGCAAAUAAAUCGGCACCUAAUAGGGAUAACCAGAUUCUGAGUUUUCAGUUCUUCUAAGUUUAAGCCUAAUAGGGAUAGGUAUCAAGACUGGCUUUCCCGAGCGGACACUCGAGCUGGGGAGGGACAACUUUCGGUAGCAGGGCAACACCGCCUUCGUUGUCGAUCCGAAACCCGUCUAACAUGUGUGACUAUAUCCUUCACCAGGUGCCUUGACACUCUGGCUAUCUAAAAAAGAAAGUAGGAUGCAUGUGCUAUAUUCCUUCUAUCCUAUUUCAGAGACUCAGAGAGGGUGCGCAAGAGAAGACAGUAUAUAAUACAGUUCAAUCAAUAUCAAAGCGGUAAAUAAGCGACAAGUAGUACAUAAGGCCAACAAACACAAUAUCAACAAUAAUUAAAGCAAAUAAAAGUCAAUAUAAAAAGCUAAAAUUUUUAUUACUCCCCAGCAGAGUCGCCAGAGAUGUCAUACCUCUUUUUCGCUCGAGGGAAUCGAGAUCGAAGGGUUUUUCCAAUUAAAGUGAUGGUAUUGAAUAGGGAUUAAUUUUUAUUAUUUUUAGAGUCGCCACUAGGAAUUGAGUUAUGGUGUUCCAAGUCACCUUAUUGAAUCCCUAAUCAAAAGGAAAUGACUCUUUAUUAUGGUCUGCGAAAACAGAAGACUGGGUAAGAAAUUCUGUUGACCGAGGGGAAGGUGUAAGGCACCCCUCGAAUCCCGUGGUUCUAGCACGGUCGCUUUAAUUGACUUACCUUGAUUUAAUCUACUUUGAUAAAUUAUUUUAAGGCCUAAAAUCACUCAUUUUAUUAUUCUAAAACUUGUCUAUUAUUUCAUAUUAAAUAAAUCGGUGAAAGUUUAAAAAUAUUUGUCAAGUUAAUUUUAGAAAAAUAUUUGUCAAGGUGCAUUAUUGCAUUCUUGAAUUUUAAAUAUCCCAGAAAGAUGAGUACGCCAUAUUCUUAAAUGGGACAAACAUUUUAAGCGCGACUAGAUUUCCCUAGCGUUAAAACAUUGAUUUAUCUUUUGCCAAAUUGUAACAAUUUUAUUUGUUUGAAAUACUACUAUAUCUAAUAACAUUCAAAAAUAAUAUUCAAUUAAAAUUAUUAAUUAAUUUAAUAAAUAAUUAUUAAGCUUCAUGAAAGAAUAAAAAUAAUAAACUUCUAAAGUCAAAAACACACUUUAUAACUUCAAAAAUCAAAAUAAUGAAGAUUUUUUCUCUUUUUAUUUUUGUUUCAUUCUUUGUUAUUUUCUAUCUACUACUUUUACUAUCUUAACUAGUAAGAGAUAUGAUAUUUAACAAAUUCAUUUUUUCUUUUCCAUAGUAAAGUUACACAUGAGACAAACAUAACAAAAAUAAUCAACAACACAAAUAAAACUAGUGUUUUCAAAGAGCUUUGCCGGAGAAUGAAGAAACUCCGGCCAGAUCUGGCGGUGGAGAGGGAAGAAGGGAGGCGGCAGCGAGGUUGAUUUACCGGAGCAGCGCGCGUGGUGGCCGGCGUUAGUUGAGUUUCGCCGGUGAUGGUAGUUCCGGCAAGAUUUGGGAACGGGAAAUGGAGGGAUGGCAGAGAGACGCUGGAAAAAGGUGGUUUCCAGCGAGAUUUGCGAUGAGAAGGGAGAAAAAGGGACCAGCGGCGCGGGGGAAGGGGAAGAAAAGGGAUGGUCGGCGCCUGGAUUCGCCAGAGAAAUCAAAGCGACGACAGUGGCUGGUUACCGGCGAUAAAUUGCUAAAAAAAAAAGUUUUUAAUCUCCUUUGUUUUUAUUAUUGGCUUUUUCAUUUUUUAUUUUUUCGUCUGUCUCGAUCUUGGUCUCACUUCCCUUAAGAUUUUUUUUUGUUACUCUUUCUGGUAUGUACUGGUAUGCGCGUGGCACUGUGUAUAUGUGAAAAUCUGUGAAUACUGUGCAUUGUUAUGUAAAACAGUGUAGAUGUAUGAAUAUGUUAUUUCUGUGUACAAACAUACAAAUAUUUAGCAGUUUAAGAUACAAUACAUAGUAACGAACAAAUUCACAUAAUAGAUCAUAUACACAUAUUAAAUAAUCCCUGAAAAUUAUUUAAACAAACUUCAUUCAUAUUUUGGUUUCUAAUAGAAUUUUAUACAACAAAUAAUGAAAGAUUAAAGAGAAACCUGUAAGGAAUUAAAUUGAAUAAUGCAACAAGAAAUUUUUACCAAAAACUUCUAACGGAAUCCUAAUUCACUUAUACUCUUUUCUCUCUUUGGACUGAUGAUUUUUUCUCUAUUUUUUUAUCUGGUUUUUUUAUGAUGUAGAUGUACGUAGAAUCUUUCCAAAAAAGGGGUUUUAAAAUUCAAAUUUAUUUAUUAUUAUUAUAAAUAUUUUUAUAUAGAAAAUAAUAACAAUAAUAAUAAAUAAAGAUAAUAAUAAUAAUAGUAAAUAAAUAAAUUAAAUAAAUAAAAUAACAACAAUAAUAGCAAAAAUAAAUAUAAUAAUAAUAAAUCAAUUAAUUUUAUAUUUCAAAAAAUAUAAUAACAAUUUAUAAAUAGACAAAUAUAAAUAUAAUAAAAUAGUAUUAAAACUACUAAUUUAUUUAUUAAAAAUUAUAAAAGAAAAAUAUUUUUUAAUUUUUGUUUAAUAAUUUUUUUUAAAAUUAGAAUUUAAAAAAAUAUCUUGAAGUUAACUUUAUUUAAUUAUUUAUUUUUUAACUAAAAAUUAUUAAAAAUAAAAAAAUAAUAAUCAAAUUAAAUUUUAUUAAAUAUAAAUGUUUGAUAUCGAUAAACAAGUUAAAAAUUUAGGGAGAAUCAAAAAUCACGUGUCUACAGAUAAGCAUCAAGACAAAAUGACAAUAGGCCGAGAGUCAUCGUUUCUCACCCUAAGGUGGUACCGGGAUCAAAUGGUAGAAGCAACCAAGGACUUAGGUCUCGCCCACUCUCAUUCUCCCCUAGGAUGUUAUCCUCAAAGUUAAGCAUAUCCUCUUUAUCGCCAUUGGAAAUAUCAUGAACAAAAAGAGGUUUGAGAAAGGUGUUCCACAAGUCAACUUCAAAUAAAGGAUUCUCAUGCACUUACUACUAGUUUCAAAAUCUCCACUAGGCGUAUGUCCAACAUAAGAAACAUAUAGAGAAGAAGUCGAUGGAAUUUGUCAACAUGUAUCACCUUCUUUUUCACAAGAGUUGUCCUUACAUACAUACAAAUCAUCACGGGCAACCCAAGGACCAUAAUCAAAACCGUCUUCACAAGGACAAUCACAAUUUGGGUUUUAUAAACAUUCUAGCAAAUCAAGAUCAACUUCACACAAUUGAUCAUUUUGCUCACCCUCACUAGUUGUUGGCAACUCACAUACCAACGUCGACUCACCUUGGUUUUCACAAGGGUCAACUAGUGUGUGAAUACUCUCGUCACUUGGUAAUGGAACCGUAGUCAAGUUAUAAGUGCUAGCACUAGAUGGACACAAAUUAUUCUCACGAGGAGAAUCAAUUUCGUCAUCUAAAGGAUCAACUAGUGCUUGUGUGCCUACAACAAGAGUUUGGUCCUCAUGUGAUCUAACAAUAUCAAGAGUAUCACAAAGGGAAGACUCAAGCACCUUUACCCUAGGCAAAGUAACAACUACACCCACUUGGCUCCUACUAGCCACAACACAAUAUUUUAAGUUCAUAGGAGUAUAGCGAAUAGAGUUUUUACCUCGUAGAUCACAUGAGCUACGGCCUUUCUUUUGACGUGUGUUCGGGCAGCCCACUUGCUCUCUUUGACCUACCAUAUGAUCCAACCUUUCAUUUGCCAUAGCUAGGUCUCGGGACAUAGUGUCAAGGUAGGCCAAAAUGGCAUUGGUGUCAUUGUUGUCCAUGGGUUGAGAGGUUGAAGCCACGGGUUCCCUUGUAAUUGUACCUAAAAAGGAAAAGAACAAGCCUACAAAAUAAAAUACAAGUUAGUUCGAAACAACCUCACCACACACUCACACACUUGAUCGUCGAACACUUGGAUUCACAAGUAUUGAAAGUCGGCUUGUACUUCGUGAGUGAUUGAGGGACGAGCCUAUCUUUACCCAGAAUAGAUUUUCGUUUGAUUUGACUCGAAGAAAAUUUAUUUACGAACUUGAACCAACAAGAUACAACGAAUUCACAAAAGAUAAAAAUGUUAAACAUGAAUGAACGAACACAAAGACUAACUAACAAUCUAGUAGAUGAGUACUAGUUUGCCAAUUAGUAUUCGAACCAACGAAAUUGAAACUAAGGAACAACAAAAGGAAACUAUGAAAUAUGAAAUUUGAACUUAAAUAUGUUGCGUGGACAGUAAACGAUAAUGUGGCAGCCACGUAUUGGUUGCGGUUCUUUAACUAUUUUUAUUUUCCAAAGUUGAAAGUCUUGGUCAAUUUUUUAAUUUGCGAAUUGGUGAAAUUGGUUAAGGAGGAAAAAAUAAGUUUUGGAAUCCUCUUUCAAUUUUCAAAAAGGAAUACUUGACUUUCUUUGUUCUCUCUCCUCAAAACAUGGCCCUUAAUUCAUGGAAAGUUGUUGGUAAGUGGUCAUUAAAGUCUUUGGUGGUUGAGGAGUCUUUCAAGACUAACAAACUUUACACUUUUUUCCUCCAACCUUUUAGAUCUAACAUCCAUUUUUCUUUCAAUAAAGGAUGAAGAUCGGUGAAGAACACCAAGAACACAAACUUUUGAAUCUUGGAGCUAAGGUUCAAGUUGGUUUCACACUUCAAUCAACACUUUCUCAAGUUCCACCUUUCAACAACAACUUCAACAAAAGGUUCUUAGGCCACCAAUUCAUAACAACAUCCGCGGCCAAGCUUAAGAACAACAAGGAAAAACCACACUGCCAAAAAUAGUGCACAACAACAAUAUUCAACAACAAUGGGCCAAGUUUAUGUUCACAACAACAACAUCAAAAUACAAGCUCAAAUCAAGAUAUAGAUGCAAUGUGUUAGUGAGGAACCAAACUAACACUUAGGGACAAUAAAUACAAGUAAAAAUCUUGGCCAAUACACAACAAAAACAUAAUUUUCGGCCAAGAACACAAAAUGGACAUAUUGCUCUCUUUUCUGGAAUUUUCAGUUUUCAACUUUUUUUUAAUUUUUUUUAACUCUCAAGCCCAAGAUUGGUCUUGUUAGAACAAAAUCAAAGAUGACUCUGAUACCAAAUGAUACAAGAAAGACAAGGAACACACGAAAACACACUCCAAAAAUAGUCCACUAUAUAGUUCAAGAACCGAGGACCCUUUUGAAGACCACUCUCGAAUUCGACAAAUACAAUAAGAAUACAAGAAACAAGGGUGUAUUUGACAACAAAUCAGCCACCACAAACUAACAAAGAGAUUAACAAGAUAGCAAGAUGAGCAAUAACAUAAUGGAAAAAACAAUACAAGUUUUUUACUAGAACAACAACAAAGAGUACAAGAAAUAUAAAGAUAGGUAGUGAGACAUAUAUUAUUACAAGACCUAAGAACUAGGGUGUGUAUUAAGCACCUAAACCCUUAGAAACAUGUAAUAAGAACACCUACACUCUUUGUGGGCACAAUAGGGACCUCAAUCCUUCAAGCACCCAAUGUUCCAAGCCAUGAAUCCAACACGAGUGAUUCCACAUUCAAGUUGAAACCUAGUUUCGAUUUUGCAUAAAAAGAGAGAGGACCUGGUAUUUCAAAAGUCAUACAAGACUUACAAAUAUCAUGAAUAAUAUAAGACUAAAAGACCUAAAAUGUACUAUUUAUAGUAGGUUACAAAAAUAGUGUGAAAUGUCCAAAAGACCCCUUAGUCAAAUCCUUCACUUUGGACACCCUUGGAGUGUAGUUUGUGGACUACUGUUUUGGAGCCUAUUUAGGCCUUCCUUUGCACUUCACUUAUACGCUCCAAGUCUCAGGUUCAAUACAUCUCACAUACGUCCAUCCUCGUGGUCGUACUUGUAUCAGGUUUGCUGCAGUAGGCUUGAAUCUCCUUAAAGAGAGCAAGAUAUCCACGCCUCAGCCGAAAAAGAAGAAAAGAUAUUUCUUCUCACAUACGUCCAUCCUCGUGGUCGUACUUGUAUCAGGUUUGCUGCAGUAGGCUUGAAUCUCCUUAAAGAGAGCAAGAUAUCCGCGCCUCAGCUGAAAAAGAAGAAAAGAUAUUUCUUUAUUUUCUUCACUUUUAAUUUUAUUGUAAUUUCACCAACAAUAUAUAUAUAUAUACUCGUUGUGGAUCCCACUAGUUAAUAGUUUAUAUAUCUCCUAUAAAUUAAAAUUUUUGAAGAGAUCAUCUCCAAAUUAUAUAUACAAUGAAGCAAAUAGCAGAAAACCAAAUAGACUAAUGAUAUUAUUAAUGGGGUAAAAAAAUUUUCUGAAAAAUGAGAUUUUUCUUACCAAAGACACUCAUCUACUCUGACAUGAAUUCUGAUCCCAAAGAACCUCUCGGGCUAAAAACGCUUCAGAAUUGUGCCACCAUAAUUAGGAAGUACAAUUAACAACCAGAGAAAGAGGAACAUUAUUUGCCUAGCGUAUGUUGGAGGCAGCCCACCUUGCAGAAUGUAGACUGCAGUAAUGUCAUGGUAAAAUUUCAAGAUGAAAAGCAACUUCCUAAGCCAUUGCUACAUACAACAUAAGAAAUCAAAUACGUGGAGAUGCAACAACUAACAAAGGAAACUUUCGCCUAACUGUAAUUCCAAGUGCUUCAUCCACAUCCAAAUCUUCAGGUUUUGUUCCAUUUAGUGACGAAAAUUCAAAAUGAAACAACAUUCUUGCCAAUGCCAACUCAUUCACAACUUUAGCGAAUGUAAUUCCGGGACAACCUCUUCUUCCAGCACCAAAUGGAAUUAACCCGAAAUCUAGCCCUUUGUAAUCCACAGAACUGUCCAAAAACCUUUCUGGUUGAAACUCCUCAGGAUUUUCCCAUAUGUUCGGGUCCCUGGAGAUGGCCCAGGGACAGACAAUGACUUGAGUUCCAGCAGCUACAUCGUAGCCCAACACUUUGGUGUCCUUUAUUGCUUCUCGAGGAAGCAAUGGCACCGGAGAAUGAAGCCGUAGACUCUCUUUGAUCACUGCUGCUAAAUAAGGCACGUGCUCCAAGUCGUCCUCUGUUACGUCUGACUUUCCUUCAGUGACUUGUCUCACCUCGUCUCUUAAUUUUCGCAGUCUUUGGAUUUCUGAGGAGUUCAUUCAUUGUCCAUUCUAAAAGAGUGGAGGUUGUAUCUGUUCCUGUAGAAAACAUAUCCAUUAUAAUAGCUUUAAUUGAAUCCAUUUCAACCUUAAAACCCGAUUUGUUUUCUUUCUGAACUUGGAGCAGUAUAUCCACAAAGUCUGCUGACUCUUCCUCUUCGUCAUCUAUUUUCG
rnacentral:lncRNA from 1 species